UAUUGCUGAGGUCAAUAUAUGUGAGGAAUGGAAGAGCUGAGAAGUUGAGCUCACCAAGCUGGCCCCUGAUGCCAGCAUCCGGCAGGGAGAUGUCGGUAACUACCCUGGGCAUGCGGCUGCCAUGGCGAACAGCUGUGCACACAAUGCCCGUCCAGUUGCAGGGGGUGGUGUUUUCCUGCCAAGAGCUCAUCUGCACCGGUGGGCUCGCAAGUGUAGCUUUCCAGUGGAGGAGGGCCAUGCGUUGAGACCUCAGUGAGAUCCCUCCAUGCCACACCGCAUGUGCUUCUUCCACGAGAAAUAGGCAGGGCAUGAGCAGUAGGCAGAGGUACAACACAGGUUGCAUUUUGCUGCCUAGUGUUUGCAUCUGGAAUUCGGGAAUGUGUUUUCUUGGGGAAGUGAUUCAGGACACACUCUGUUGAUGGGUAUUUAACCAGUGUGUCGUCCAUGGUCAUGAGGUCUUCAGUCAACUCGCAACAGCUGAGUGGGAGCUUCUUUUUUCUUGGAAAGGAAUUGAGUGGAUGACUCUUUUUCGGUGUCUGCCACCAUCUCUUCGUCGUUGCUGCUGGGCGGCCUGUUAUUUUGAAGGCAUGGAUAGGAAGGGUACCGACAGCGGACGCGUACAUACUGAUCAUAUAUUUACCAAAUUUCCUCCGUCUACAACUUAUGCACCGAAUGGACUUGCGAUUCAGUUAACAUCGUGGCAGAGAUUUUAUUUGAUGUUAUAUUGUGUGAUUAGUUUGAUAGUAUUUCUUGUUUAUUUGAUCAUGUAACUUGUAACUGCUUCAGUUAUGUGUCUUGAGCUAUUCUCUAAAAUGUUUUGCUUUUUGCUUCUCAGCUUGGGGUAUAGAAAAAAAGAUUUAGCCCAAGUGGUGGCACAACACAACGGUUAACCGUGGGAGAAUUCCGUGCUGGGAUUACAUAUAUAGAAAUAAAGAAGUCUUUUUGGAAGUCACGUGUCUUAGCAAAAAGAGGUAGUGGCUGUAACCUGUGGAAUUCAAGGCCUGUACAAUAAAGCAGCAUCAUGACCACACUGACUGAAGAAAAGUUCAAAGCUCGGUGGGUUUAUUCGGUAAAAUUCCACUACUAGUGCUUUCUGUAAAUGUUGGUUGCCGUGUAAGAUCCAACACACCAGGUAUGCCCCCCUUUGUAAUUCACUUUGGUAGCUCAUAGUAGUGAUGUGCGUAGAUAUGUACAGUAACACAUAGCAGAAACAGCAGUGAGCACAGUAAGUUUGAGCUGGACUCAAAAUUAUUGGUACUAGCUAAGUGCCUCAUGCCUCGUUGCUAGGAACAAAUAUUACGGUUGCACAUCCUGUUCUUGGCAGAUCCACGGUUGCACUAGCCGAGUUGAAUUUUGAGGUGAAUUGCCAUCUACUUUUAUGAUACUAAAAAAGAUUAUGGCAUGAAGAAAUAAGAAGGUUUUAUCUUUGUUGCAUGCUAGCCUCCCCAACCAAUACAUAAACUAAUUGAUAAAAUGUGGGAUAUAUCGAAUUCUAAAAGUAAAAUAUUGGUUACCUUCUGAUUCUUGUGGAAAAUUCUUUACGUGCAGAAAUAUAUAGAGCCACCGGUGGACGCGCCAGCCAGGCAGAAAAUUCUGAGUGACCAUAUCUUGCAGGUGGUCGAAAGUAGUCAUGGAGACUGACCAACUCCAAUGGACUUUGGGCUUUGCGGCCGCUCUGGUGGAGCAAGAAGAACGAGAACUCAUGAUACCUUCUGUUGUGGUGUCCUCGAGGUCAACAGUAACGCCACCCCUGCUCGCCGUCACCGCCGCGUGCGAGUCCAGAUCUGUGCUUCCCUGCCGGUGGCAAUUGGGAGAAGAAUCUGCACAACCUACAAUUUCCCCUAUCAUCUUAUAAAUACAUGGGAGGAGGGCAAAACAGCGACAUGUCCCCUGAGAAUUGUGCCGGUAACAGGGCGAUGCGUGGAGUUCUAGCACGAGAAACAAGGGCAGGCAAUCCAUUGUAACAACUCUGGCAUAUGUGUUAUUUGCGAGGGUAACAACUCUGGCAUUCUUGUUUCAACGCUGGACGCAAAGGAUAUAUUUCGUUAUUUGCGAGUGUUACGACGUCAAUCGCCUGCGGGCAUGUCCAGCGGCCCAGCCCAUUGAGCGGAAGUAUUCCCAGUGGUUUUCAGAAGCUUUGAGAUAUUUUUCUUCUUCUUUGUGUUCUUUACCCGAUCUUUAACCGGAUUUCUAUUUCUCCUUUUUUUUUUCUACUUUGGUUUCUUUUUAUUCUUAGUUUUCUUUUCUUCCCAUUUACUUUUCCUAUUGAGGUGACACGUUUACUAGUUUUCUGUUUUCCUUCCAGUUUUUUUACCUUUUCUAUUUAUGUUUCUUUUUUAUUUUCUUCUCUUUUAUGUUUUCAUAAUUACAAAAAUUUCAAUAAAAAUGUUCAAAAUUUUGAAAAUAUUUCACAUUUUAAGAAAAGUUAAAGUCUUUAAGAAAAAGUUCAAGUUUUUAAAACUAUUUUUUGUUUUAUAAAAAUAUCGGAAUCUUGAAAAAAGUAACCAUUUCAAGAAAUUUUCAGAAAAAGAUAACAGCUUUCAGAAAUUGUUCGAGAUGUCGAAAAUUGUUAGCAGUUUUUGAAAAAAAAUCGCUGUAUAACAUAAAAUAAUUACUGUGUGAUUAAAAAUUUGUUGACCAUUUAUUAAAAAAGGUUAAUUGUACACAAAUAAAAUGUUGAUCAUAUAUUAAAUAAUUCUACAGUGUGUAUUUUGUAAAAUUGUUCACCAUAUGUUAGGAAACGUUCAUUUCAUAUAAAUAAAAUGUUCAUCAUAUUACUAAUUAAUUUUUCGUGUGUAUUUUUCAAAUGUAAUUUUAAAAUUGUUCAGGUUUUCAAAACUUGCUUAGAAUUUCGAAUUUUAAUUUGCAUUGUUUUUGUUCAGGAUUUCAUAAAAUGUUCAUUAACAUUAACAUUUGUUCAUGUUUCAAAAAAAUCACUCUUUAAAAUAUAAUUAUAAGAAGUCUCAUUAAAAAAAUAGAAUUUGGAGUUCGCAACUAUUAAAAAAAAGUUCUUUCGGACAAAACAGAACCCACCACGCUAUCUCGUUUUAAAAAAAUGCUGAAGCGUGAAAUCAGUAAUUGAGGAGUACUCGUUUCAAAGAUCACUUCUAUCUCCCCAGGUUACGACAAGUGGCGUGAUGCAUGUGUGCUACUUGUCGCAACCUGGGAUUUCCCCCUUUUUUUCAUAGACCCAUUUAUUCAAAAUGAUUUAUCACUUAAACCGUGCGUCCAAAUCUCGAACCAUUGUCACCUUUGGAUUCCUCGCGUCGAAAUCUACAACUUCCGCUGAUUGAUGCCACGGAUGGAGAAAACUGUUGAUUUUUGCUGGCUUUCUGCUGAUUUUUGAUAGAUUAAGCAUUUAUUUUAGGGACAGGAAGGUAAUUUGGAGGACGGAGGCGGGCAGGGCCAUAAAGAUCAGCUCCCGCACGCCACCUGUUCGAUGAAAUGCCCACAACGCGGCCACAACGAUGUCUUCUCUGGUCCAUGCUGCCAUCCAUCGAUGUUGACAAGUCACCAUCUAAAAGGUUGUCCGAGAAGCAUAGCUGAAUCCUGAAUCUAGCUGACGUGCUUUCAUACACCUUCGGGAUUUCUUCUUUAUAAUAUGUCACUUCUGUGAAGUUUCAGAAUUCCUUUGCAGGUAAAUGUUAUUUUGUUAUUUGCUUAGGUUACUUGUUGUAGAAACUGCUGGAUUUGGAAGGCUAGCAAGUUCUUAACAUGGACAUGGUAGAAGUGAAAUGCUAUUUGUUGCACAGUGCUUUUGGCCUUGGUUAAAUGAAGCGGAUUAUCCUGUAGCAUUUAAUCAUUCUUGCUUUUUACAUUGUGCUUUUUACAGUGCUUUUGGCAUUGUCUAAUUGACAGCCGGCUGAAAACCAAUUCGGCUUCAGGCUGAUUUUAGACCACCCACAAAUUGACAAGUUUGCCAUGUCCAUUGUAUGUUCCUGUCCAUCUUUCGCCGCUGUUUCUGUCCCACCUAGCAGGAGGCAAACCUGGAGAAAAAUCAUGGAUUGACAUGUGGAGAAUCCUACCAAACAUUGCAUUCACUCCCAGUACUUCUCCUGUGAAACAGCUCCCUCUCCUAAUUCUCAACAUCUACACGGAACAUGCACAGGAAAUCUGAACUUUGCAAGAACAAAAAAUCAGAUUAUGACUAGUAAGGAUCAUGGGAUUAUAGGAUCAACAUAGACAGGAAAGCAUGGAAAACCUUCUAAGGUGUUAGAUUGAAUCUAUUUCAGUUCCCCCUUACAUACUAGAGGAAACAUAAAGGGGAACUCUGAAAAUCUGCUUAGAUGUUACACUGAAGCUAGUAGUACAAAAUAUACAUGCAGAAAAUUCAGAAACUUCAAACAAAAAAAUUCAAAAAGAAGAACAGGAUUUACAACAGAUACCCUUUACGAUGCUUGUGAACUGACAAAAAACUUCACACAAAAAAGUUACUCACAAAACCUUCAUAGAAACCUUAGGGUUUAGAACUUUCAGUAAGUUUGGGUAUCAUCUUAGGGUUGGUUAGAGUUGAUAAUCUAGAAAACUAAAAGCAGUGAACUGAUUGCUAUGAUUCAUCAGUUUAUCUUCCAUAUAGUUGGACUAAAAAAGCAGUGAACUGUAUGCGAAUAGGCGAAAGCGUCUUACCCAUCGUGGGGGCGCUGUUGCGUGUUAUAUAGGCCAGGGGCGCACCUCCCUGGAUAGCGCAUACAGCAGUUUAGAUUAUAAUCUUGAGAAGAAAGAAAGAGGUAGAGAUAAGGACUCUAGUUAAGAUAAACCUCCUUCCUAACUACCUAACACAUAUGCGCAAGUAAUGCAAUCCUCCUGCCACGCUACAACUUGUGUUUAACACCCUCCCUUAAUCACAACUUCAUCAAGUUGAGAUUAUGCUUGAAGUCUUCAAAGCUUCGUGUGGGAAGAGGCUUUGUGAAUCCAUCUGCUAUCUGGUCCUUGGAAUGCACAAAACGUAUGUCAAGUUUCUUCUGAGCCACUCGUUCUCUGACAAAGUGAAAAUCUAUUUCAAUGUGUUUAGUUCUGGCAUGAAAAACUGGGUUGGCAGAUAGGUAUGUGGCACCCAGAUUAUCACACCAUAAACAUGGAACUUGAGUACUUUUUACACCAAGUUCCUUCAGAAGUGAUUGCAUCCAUAUGAUCUCAGCUGUUGCAUUUGCCAAUGCUUUAUAUUCUGCCUCAGUACUGGAUCGAGAAACAGUUGCCUGCUUUCUUGCACUCCAUGAAAUUAAAUUGGGACCAAAAAAUACUGCAAAGCCACCAGUGGACCGCCUGUCAUCCAGGCAGCCUGCCCAGUCAGAAUCUGAGAAAGCACUCAAAAGUGUAGAUGAUGACUUACUGAAAUUCAAACCAAUAUUGAGAGUAUUCUUGACAGAUCGAACUAUACGCUUUGCAGCAGUCCAGUGAACUGUGGUGGGUGCAUGAAGAAACUGACAGACCUUAUUAACAACAAAAUAGAUAUCAGGCCGUGUAAGUGUCAAAUAUUGAAGCGCACCUACCAGACUCCUGUAUCUUGUGCUGUCAUCUUGACCCAAAAGCUGCCCUUCUGUAAGGGAUAAUUUUUCUAUGCUUGAUAGUGGAGUCGGUGAGGGUUUACACCCUUGCAAACCAGCCUUUUUUUACCAGAUCUGUUGCAUACUUUUCCUGAGAGAGGUGAAGACCAUUAUCAUGUUUCUUCACUUCUAUCCCUAGGAAAUAAUGUAAGUCUCCAAGGUCCUUGAGAGCAAAUUCUGCACUUAGAUCCUUCAAUAAGCCUGUGAUAGCCUCAUCAGAUGAACUUGUGACAAUAAUACCAUCAACAUAGAUGAGAACAAAUAUAUGAGUGUUGCAUUUGUUGUAAAUGAACAAAGAGGUAUCCGACUUUGAAGGUAUGAAACCAAGUGCUUGCAUUUUGUGACUCAACCGUGAGUACCAUGCUCGAGGAGCCAGCUUCAAUCCAUAUAAGGCUUUGUCAAGUUUACAUACAUGAGAAGGUGCAUUCUUGUUUUCAAACCCAGGAGGUUGUUUCAUGUACACUUACUCUUCCAGAACACCAUGCAAAAACGCGUUCUGAACGUCUAGUUGUCUAAGGCUCCAUCCCCUAGAAACAGCAAUGGAUAACACAAGACGGAUAGUGGCAGCUUUUACAACUGGAGUAAACGUAUACUCAUAGUCUAUGCCAUAUCGUUGUUUAAAACCUUUUGCUACAAGUCUUGCUUUGUAACGAUCAAUAGUGCCAUCAUAUUUUCUCUUAAUCCUAAAAACCCACUUGCAGUCAAUAAGGUUUUUACCUUGCCGUGGAGGAACCAAGUGCCAUGUGUUGUUCCUCUUUAAGGCCAUGUACUCUUCUUUCAUUGCUUGUUUCCAAUUUUCAUCACCAAGAGCUUCCUCAAGUGAAUACGGUUCACCGUUCACCUGUAGAGCAGAUCAUGCCAAAUUUUGUCAUGCGUUUGUAAUUUACUGGAUGUAUUACCCCCUGUUGGAGACGAGUACGUCGUGACGUGGUUGGCUCCAGCGCAGAAGAUCCCGUGGGUGUUGCAGAUGCUGAUCCCGAAGUGGAUUCGGUGGGAUCCACCGCAGCCGCACCAGAAACAGAGGCCGGAUCUUCUGUGCGUGGAGGCGAGGCAGCGUCAGGGGGCGAAGACACACGCGCCACAGAAGAUCCGGCCAGACAGGGUUCGUCCCGCAGCAAUGAUGACGCUGGUCCCCCGCGUGCGCCAGGUGUGGGGCCCGUUGGGCCCGAGCCAGUUGGCCGACGCAGAUCCCGCCGCUUGUAGCAGACAGGCUGAGCCGGAAAACGACCGCUCGUGGGCCCUGGCGAGUGCGGGCCGGCGCCUCCAACCGCUGGCUGCCGUGCGGCGCAGGCGGGGCCGCCUACUGGUGCGCGGUCGGGCGCAGGGGGAGAAGCGGAGGGCUCGGGCACGGAAUCUGAGGGAGAUCCGCCUGACCGAGCUGCGGGCGGCGAUCCCGGAGCGGAUCCCGCUGGCAGGUCUACCACGCCUGCAGGCCCCAAUCCCGAGGGAGAUUUGCUCCCCAAGUCCUGGCACAUGAAAUAUGGCCCUGUUGGGCGAUUUUCUUCAUUAUUUUCGACUCCGUUUUCUUCAGCGUAGCUUCCUGUAUCACACAACUCAUGCAACGUGGUGAGAGGGUUAGUCACAGUAGUGUCAUCAGAAUUAGACUCCCCAUUAGCAAAGCCGGUUAGAUUUGGAGGCAAAAGAAGAAUUUCUUUCCGAAGUAAAGCGCCGGCAUUUGGGUGUAAAUCAGCGAAGGGAAACUUGGUUUCAUCGAAUACAACAUCAUGGGAUAUGUAAACUCGACUAGUAGAGACAUCUAGACAUUUUACCCCCUUGUGUUGAGAGCUAUAUUCGAGAAAAACACACUGUUUUGAGUGAAACAUGAGCUUGCGAGAAUUGUAGGGUCGAAGAUUAGGCCAAUAGGCACACCCAAAAACACGAAGUGAUGUGUAGUCGAGUUUGACAUGAAGAAGUCGCUCGUGGGUGUGUCAUUGUUGAUAACUCGACAAGGAAGCAUGUUGAUAAUGUGAACGGCCGUGAGAAAAGCUUCGUCCCAAAAUUUAAGGGGCAUAGAAGCGCCGGCAAGAAGAGCUAGACCAACCUCAACUAUGUGCCUAUGUUUGCGUUCGUCCGAUCCGUUUUGUUGGUGAGCGUGAGGGCAUGACACAUGAUGAGAUAUGCCGAGGGUUUGAAAGAAGGAGUUGAGCUUCUCAUACUCCCCCCCUAGUCGGAUUGGACAACAAUAAUUUUGCUGUCAAACUUGCGUUCUACAAGUGCUUGAAAAUUUUUGAACACUUGAAAAACAUCGGAUCUUUUCUUGAGAAGGUAAAUCCAAGAAAAUUUGCUAUAGUCAUCAAUAAAGCUAACAUAGUAUGUGUGUCGACCAACCGAGGUGGGAGCAGGACCCCAAACAUCAGAGAAUAUCAAUUGCAACGGUUGAGUGGAAACACUAGUAGAUAUAGGGUAAGGUAAUUGAUGACAUUUUGCUCGUUGGCAAGAAUCACAAAUAGUUUCAAUAUUGUGCUCACCAACAAACGUGAGCUUAUUUUUUCUAAGCAAACGUUCAACCAAAGAAAAAGAUGCAUGUCCUAAACGAUCAUGCCAUCGUGUGGACGAAAGCUUGAUAGCACCACAAGCUUGUUUAUUUGAUCUUCUAAACUCUGGAAUCAACGGGUAAAGCCCUCGAACACAUCUACCUCGAUAGAGAACUUUCCUCGUGGCCUGAUCCUUGAUCAAAAAGAAGAAAGGAUGGAAUUCAAUGAAUACAUGAUUAUCAAUGGUAAUGCGAUGAACGGAGAGAAGAUUUUUGUUGGCACUAGGAACAUGCAAAAAAUUUCUAAGAUGAAUCUUGGGAGAAGGGGUAUGUAUAACCGAAUGACCUAUGUGACUUAUCCUCAUACCUGCACCACUUGCCGUGUGAAUUUGGUCUUUGCCAUGAUAUUUCUCACGAAGAGUCACCUUCUCAAGUUCUCCCAUGAGGUGGUUGGUAGCACCACUGUCAAUAUACCAAUUAGUAUCAACACCAUAUGACCCAUCAGCGGCGGCAGCUACCUUGUCAUCUUCAUCAGAGGAGGCAUCGUUUUCAUCGAAACGAUACCAGCAGUCCUUGGCCGUGUGGCCCAGCUUGCCGCAAAUCUGGCAACGUACGACAUCAGGACGUGAUCUGCCCGAGCCGCCACCACUGCCACCCCCGCCGCGAUGGCCCCUGUUGUUGACGAAGUUGGGAUGUCCGCCGCGAGAGGAGUUGCUGGAGCUGCCACCACCUUGCUUGCCCUUGUAUCGGGGAGGACCGCGAGAGCGCGAGGAGUACCCGCCGCGCUCGCGAGUGGCGGCGUUGGCCGAAGACUUGAAGCCACCGCCGGUGUUGUGAAACUGUGCCACACGCUGAUACGGGGCUAACCCGGUGUAGGCCGAUCUUUCACGUUUGGAGUGGGAUCCCUCGAAGAACACGAUGGACGCGGGGAAGAACGGAGAGAAAACACAAGGGGAAACACUCAAGAACUAGUCUAAUCACACAUCCACUAGACAAUCAAACACACAAGAUCCACAAGGUACAUGAACAACAAAGGGAAAGAUACAACGUAAGGUUGAUCUCCAAGAGGAGGUCUUGAUGAUAUCCUAGAUGGAUCUUCCCACAAGGGGGUCUUGAUGAUAUCCCGCAGGAUCUUCUCACAUGGAGGUCUUGAACUCCAUGGGAGUGGUAGUCUCUCUCUCUCAAGAGUAGAGGUAGGAGAAAAGCUCACCUAAGAAUGAGCUAUCAUAAUUGCUAACCUUAAAAAGGAGGUGGAGGUGGUCUAUUUAUAGUCUAAGCCACGAAGGGGUAAGUGGAAGAGGGAUACAAGGCCAAAGGCCCGCGGCUGCGCACACAGGCAUCGGACGUCCAGAAGACUUCGGACUUCCGUAAAUUCUUCUCUGUCGCCGUAGCACCGGUCGUCCGAUCGGUGUCGGUGGUCCGUGCGCUGGGACUUGUCGGACGUCCGGCGUUCGUCGGUCGUCCGGCCGCUGUAGCUUUCGUUGACAGGUCUCUUGGGCUGGCUGGAGCUCCAGGUGUCGGACGUCCGGUGUAGUCCGGUCGUCCGGGCGCUGUAGGUGUGUCGGACGUCCGGUGGCUUCCGGUCGUCCGGUCGCUGUAGACUCCGCAGCUCCUUCUUCUUUUGUCUUCUCUUCCAUGCUUCCCUCGCGGAUGGUGUAGUUGUUCCUUGGCGCUUGCACUCCUCCUUGACAUCCGUGAAGCUCCGACAAUACCUAUGCAUGCACACGGGAGAAGUGUCAAGUAGUAUACCAUCCUCGAAGGGGUCAAGUGAGCACGUGUAAAGGAGAAGAUUCACCUUUGUGUAUGUGAAGUAGAGGUUGCACGUGUCACUUGCCAAACGGACUCUUGACAUGGUGAUGACCGUAGGAUGCUCCGCAUCACACGCUGAUCAAAGUUGCUCAGCAUGGAGUACAGCUCGUCGAUGGAGACCGGCGUGACACGGGCAUCGAGGGCGGAGACGAGAGGCUGGUAGUCCAUGUCCAGCCCAUGCAGCAGGUAGGAGAUGAGCUCAUCGUCCUGGAUGGGCUUGCCGGCCGCGGCGAGUUCAUCCGCAAGGCCACGCAUAUGAGCGUAGUAUGCAACAACUGAUUGGGUGCCCUUCCAUGCAUUGAUCAAGGCAGUGCGAAUAUUGUUUACACGGCUCAAAGAUUGAGAAGAAAACAUGCCUGCAAGCGCCACCCAGAGGGCGUGCACGAUGGUGACCGUGGUCACCGCGAUCAACACUUCCUUGGAGAGGUUGUUGAGGAGGUAGCCAAGCACUUGUUGAUCUUCCCUCACCCAGAUGGGAUGGAGAGGGUUGAGCGUCGACGACUCCUUGUCGUCCUUGUCCUUGGUGACGAGGAGGCGGGUGGGUUCCGGCAUUGUUCCGUCGACGUAGCCGAAGAGCCCAGCUCCCCUUAGCUGCGGCAUAACUUGAGUUCGCCACAGGACGUAGUUCGUCCGGGAGAGCUUCUCCGUGACCUGACCGAGAUUGCUUGGGGCGGCGCUGGAGGAAGACAUGGCUUGGGACUAUGGAGAAGCUAGGGUUUGGAAGAGGAGGCUCUGUAUACCAUGUGCGAAUAGGCGAAAGCGUCUUACCCAUCGUGGGGGCGCUGUUGCGUGUUAUAUAGGCCAGGGGCACACCUCCCUGGAUAGCGCAUACAGCAGUCUAGAUUACAAUCUUGAGAAGAAAGAAAGAGGUAGAGAUAAGGACUCUAGUUAAGAUAAACCUCCUUCCUAACUACCUAACACAUAUGCGCAAGUAAUGCAAUCCUCCUGCCACGCUACAACUUGUGUUUAACAAACUGCUCAAACAAAAUUUCACAGUACUUACCACCGAACUCAUUCAUGUACUGCAGACCAAAGGAAGAAACAAAAUAUUAGGAGUAAAAAUACCUACCAAGACUUUCUACAUAUCCUAUGAAAAAUCCCUCCCCUAUUAUUAGGGUGGACCUGUGUAGACCCCCUCAGCCCUCCGUAAUCGUUCGUAUGUGUAGAAACACCAAGGUAAUCUCUUAAUUAAUUAGAUAGGUAUUCCCCCUCCGUACCUAAAUAUAAGAUGUUUUUGUAGGCUAGUACAUGAGAACAUCUGAGAUGCUCGAACACAUUUUAUAUAGUGGUGACUAUGGGGCUGCCUAUUACCAAGUCACAUGAGAAAACCUUCUGCGUAAUCAUUUUCCACGAGGACCACUAGAUCUUCAUCCAAUGACCGGAAACAUAUCAUGUAUUAUUUAUCUUCUUCCUGCCCUCAUUCCUCCUCCACGCGCCGCCAACCGGCCUAGCCCCGUCGGCAUGCCUCUACACCCCUUGGCUGUCUCCCGUUGGUGGGCACUGUUGUGCGCCACCUCUAGAGAUAUAGACACGGCGAAGGGAAAUUUUGUUUCAUCGAAAACGACAUCCCUAGAGAUAUAGACAUGGCCGGUGGAGACAUAGGCAUUUUACACCUUUGUGUUGAGCACUAUAACCAAUGAACACGCAUUGUGUAGAACGGAACAUGAGUUUGUGAGGAUUAUAUGGACGAAGAUUGGGCCAGCAUGCACAUCCAAACACACGAAGAGACUUGUAGUCUGGUUGGUGUGAAGAAGUCUUUCAACCGGAGUUUCAUUGUUUAUAACACGGCUAGGAAGCAUAUUAAUAAUGUGAACGGCAGUGAGAAAAGCUUCGUCCCAAAAUUUGAGAGGCAUAGAAGCUCCUGCGAGGAGGGCAAGCCCAACUUCAACAAUGUGAAGGUGCUUCCGUUCGGCAGAGCCGUUUUGUUGGUGAGCGUGAGGGCAUGACACAUGGUGCGAGAUGCCAAGGGUUUGGAAGAACGAGUUUAACUUCUCUAUUACCCUCCCCAAUCGGAUUGGACAUCAAUAAUCUUGCAGUCAAACUUGCGUUCAACAAGAGCUUGAAAUUUUUGAAAAACUUGAAAAACAUCAGAUCUUUCUUUAAGAAGAUAAAUCCACGAGCAUUUACCGUAGUCAUCGAUGAAACUCACAUAGUAGGUGUGUCUACCAACAGAACUAGGGGCAGGACCCCAAACAUCAGAAAAGAUUAAUUACAAUGGUUUUGUGGAGACACUAGUGGAUAUAGGAUAAGGUAACUGAUGACUUUUAGCUCAUUGACAUGAAUCACAAAUUGUAUCAAGAUGAUGCUCACCAACAUACGGGAGCUUAUUUUUCCUAAGCAAUCUCUCAACUAAAGAAAAAGAAGCAUGUCCUAAUCGAUCAUGCCAUCGUGUUGAUGAAAGUUUGAAAACACCAUGGACUUCUUUAUUGAAUCUUCUACGCUCCGGAAUCAACGGGUAAAGCCCUCGAAGACAUCUACCUUGAUAGAGUUCUUCGUUGCCUGAUCCUUGAUAAAAAAGAAGUAAGGAUGAAAUUCGAGGAAGACAUGAUUACAAUGGCAAUUCUAUGAACAGAAAGAAGAUUCUUGUUGGCACUAGGGACAUGCAAAAUUUUCUUAAGAUAAAUUUUACGUCGCGGGGUACUAAAUAUUGAAUGACCAACGUGACGUAUCCUUAUACCUUCUCCACUUGUAGUGUGGAUCUAAUCGUUGCCGUGGUACUUUUCCUUCAUUGUGACCUUCUCAAGUUCACUGGUAAUAUGGUUGGUGGCGCCGCUGGCAACAUACCAAUUUGUAUCGACCCCAUAGGAGCCAUCAGCAGCUGCGGCGAUCUUGUCCUCAUCUUGGGAGUCAUCGUCGUCCUCCUCGUAACGGUACCAGCAGUCCUUGGCCGUGUGCCCGGGCUUGCCACAGAUCUGGCAACACGGGGUAUCUGGACGAGCCCGGCCAGAGUCACCACCACGACGCCCCCUGUUGCCAGAACACCCGCGCCACCACUGCUGUGCCUGCCUCCUCCUGUCCUCCCCUUGCCAUGGGAAGAACCACGCCGGCCAGAACUGCCGCCGCGGCCGCGGGAUGCAACGUUUGCAGAGGACUUGAAGCUGCCGCCGCCGCCAUGGAACUGCGCCAUGCAUUGGUCGAAGAUGCUGAGCAUGGCGAAGAGCUCGUCGAGGGAGGCUGGAGUGACGUCGAGGGCCAAGACCAGGGGCUGAUAGUCCUGAUCCAGCCCAUGAAGGAUGUAGGAGAUGAGUUCGUCAUCUUGGAUCAGCUUGCCGGCCGCAGCCAGCUCAUCAGCGAGGCCGUGCAUGGAGGCGAAGUAGGAGGCAACAGACUGGUUGCCCUUCUGCGCAUUGAUGAGGGAGGUGCGGAUGUUGUUGACGCGGCUCAGCGACUGCGACGAGUAUAUGCCCGCCAAGGUCGUCCAGAGUGUCUGUGCCGUGGUGACCGUGAUGAGCACCUCUUUGGAGAGGUUGGCCAACAGGUAGCCAAGAACCCGCUGGUCCUCUCGGAUCCAGAUGUGGUGGAGAGGGUUGGGCUCGAAGGUCUCCUUGCCGUCCUUGUCCAUGGCGGAGAGGAGCUUGGCCGGCUCCGGCGAGGUGCCGUCGACGUAGCCGAAGACACCGGCACCACGCAGCUGUGGCGUGAUCUGCGUGUGCCAUAGCACGUAGUUCGUGUGGGAGAGCUUCUCGGUGACCUCGCCAUUGAGACUAGGCUGGAAGGCGCCGGAGGAUGAAGACAUAGCUAGGCAUGGGUGGAAUCGUAGAGAGUCUAGAUGGGAAGUAGGAAGGCUCUGAUUAUCAUGUGCGUUAGGCGGAAACGUCUUACCCUAGCUCGGGCGACGUGCUACGUGUUAUAUAGCAGGGGCGCAAUAACCCUGAGGCGCAUACAUAAGUUGGUUGAGAAGAUAAGAGAGAAUUGGAGAUACAACUUGAUGAGGAAGAAAGGAGGAGAUAGACUUGGUUACAACAGAAUAGAUAUGCCGGCUAAACUACCUCCUGAACUAUCUCUAAAGAUCUCCUCUGUCACGUGUAUGCGUCAAAUAUGUUUAACAGAGACGAUGGAUGUUAUGGAUGUAAGUAGUGAAAUACAAGGAACUCUUGGUAGAAGCUACUAUGUCCCAGAUGACAUUGAUGAGGAGGAACUUAUUUGUAGUUGGCUAUUCAUAGAUGACUCAAACACCAGGUAUUAUCACCUUAAAGUUACUGAAUCAAAUAGUUUCCCUUACAAUGGUAACCAGCCAGGAACCACCCAUCAAUUUAAAUUCUGUAGUUGAAUUCAAUCCGGCAAACUCUCUGUUUUUAUCAGUUCUUAGGUCCAUGAUUUUACCUAAAACGUUUCUUUGGCACUUUGUCAUAAUCCCUGCACUAUUUAUUAAUGUACAUACAAGACAGUUCUUUGUUUGCUGCGCUCAUUUUGUAUGUUGAAAAAUGAAGAGCUCGAUGCUUUGGAAGCUGAUGGACUUCAAAUCAAAUUCAGUCCCAUCGUACCUCUAACCAAAUAAGGAAACAUAUCUUGAUUUUGAGCUUAAGUUACCUGCUGCACCAAGUUGUCAUGCGGCUAGCAGCCAUGGCAAAUUGGCAGCAGGUAGCUAGUAUGCCAAUUGCGAGACUGACUAGUUUCUGUGAUGUUGAUUAUGGUGUUGAUUUCAUGAGAAAGAAAUCAAUGGUUCAUGUCAUUUCCCAUGCAAUCACUGUGCGUGAAGUUGUAAAAGGGUUUCUUUAUCUCGUCACAUGAUCUAAAUGACAGGCUAGAUACCUGUGAUCAUUAUAUAUGGAAGUAUUUCCUAACCUAUAAAUUGUGUAUUUCAGGUUUAAUUUCAUGACAAGUACCUAUAUUGUUGGUGUGAACAAGUGAGCUUAUCCUAGCUUGAUAUUAUUAGCAAAAUCAACUCAUGGGAGGACAUGCAAACCACUUUAAUGCCAAACAUGUUCUAUAUGAUGGAUUUGACCCUGAGCUUUUGGAACAAUUACCGUUGUCUCGGUCCUAUCAUACCACAACACAUACUCUGCUUCAUUUCAGUUUCAGUGAACGUCUAUGCUUGUGUCUCAACCAGUAGACUAAUUUGUUGUGCUUGCUUUCCUCUGCUUGUGCAGGAGGAUGAACUAGGACUGCCUGCAGUGCCACACACGUCAAUUCGUAUCUGAAACUAACAAAAAAAAGCUAUGGUGUAGGUUUGAUCUUGAUGUAAAUGGUCGGUGCUUCGUUUGUGCAUGGGAAAAUUCGUUGUAUUUUUCCUCAUAUUUCACUGCCAGUCGUUGAGCAAUGGUAAAUGGAGCUGUUCUCUAUACGGUUGUACAUCUUGUUCUUAGUAUGUCUGUGAUUCAACUAGGUGAGUUGAAUUUUGAGGUGAAUCAUACCUAAUUUUCUAUUAAAAAGAUUAUGGGAUAUUUUCAUACCAGACUCUUCAUGUCUAUGAUUGCACUAGCUUAGUUCUCACUGUUGUCUGUCACCUGGGGCUUUUCAUAUCAUCUCAUCUCAUCCUUUCUUAAGUUUUUAUUAGGCAUGAAGAAGAAAGAAGGUUGUAUCUUUGUUCCAUGUCAAUCUCACCAACCAAUGCUUGAAAUUAAUUGUAGUAGUAAAUUAUUUGUUGUUCCAUCCUAAGGACAAGGACUCCAAGGAAAAGGAGUACAAUCCUCUGUAAGUCCUUUUACUUAGUACAGUGGUAAUUUUCCCUUUUUAUGCACCUAGAUCCAUAAGUUUACCUUCAUUUGUUUAUGCUUAUGCAUCAACCGAUCAAAACUUCAUAUUUAGUACAGUGGUAAUUUACCCUUUUUAUGCCCUACAACCCUCUCUAAGUUCUUUUACUUAGUACUGUGGUAAUUUUCCUUUUUGUAUGCACCUAGCUCUGCGUGCUAACAUUAUUUGUUCCUGUUUACGCAUCGCCCACUUGAUCAUUGUGAUCGUCCCUGCUUGGUCCAAGGUAUUUUAACCUGAUCAUUGUGACCGCCUGAUACCACGUUAGUUUUGGACUCCAAAUUCAUCUUCAGGUUCAUGGGAGCAGAAGUAGAUAAAAAGAGACAAAUAUUUUUACACCAUUCCAAGUACCCUUGCAGACAACAACCGAAAGAAAAUGACAAAUAUACACAUAGACAAAUUACAUUUUACAAGCAACCGGCAAAACAAAUUAUAUUUAUGCCUUGUUAGAAAUCAGGAACUAAACAAAUAGAGAAAUAUCAAGAACAUGGGCCACUAAUUUUUACGUGACAUCCCGAGGUAUAAACGCAUAGACACAUUACCCUUGCUGACAUUAAGUGACAAUGAAGUUGUAUUGGCAACAUGAACAACUCCAAGGAACCUCUCACAUCCUCUUCCUGAUUUGUCAACAAAUCGUAUGCAGAGAGCAAGUUGUUCUUUAUGAGAUGCAUCACUAGACUCAUCAGCUAGGAUUGCAUAGUGGUCAUCACCAAUAUCUUCAAUAAUUCUUUUAGUUGUUUGCGCCGCACAACAUUCAAUUAUUUGAUUUUGUAUCUUUGGACUAGUCAAGAUGCAAUUCCUAGGAGCAUUGUUCAAUACAUGUUUAUUAACUUCUUCGUCAUUUUCCGAAAGCCAUUUAAGAAGUUCAAGAAAGUUCCCCCUAUUGCUAGAUUCUUCACUCUCAUCAUGUCCACGAAAUGCCAAUCCUUGGUUCAAAAGAAACCUCAAGCAUCUAAGUGAAUAAGUCAGCCUAGCCUUGUACAUACGUAAAUCCUCUUUACACACCCUCACCAUAAUGUUAUCAAUUGAUGGUUGGGGUGCCACAAAUAAAUUGUACUUCUCUUGAGCUUUGUUGUGAAUGCUGUUAAUACCACCCACAUGUUUGUCUAAUGCAUCAGGCCUAUACCAAUUUUUCCAACCAUCUUUAACAAAGGCAUCACCCUUAGCCCCCCCCAUUCGAUUUGCCUUUGAACAAAUAACACACAAAGCAAAAUGUAGCCUCAUAUUUGACACUAUAUUCUAGCCAUUUAUAGUUCUCAAACCAAACAAAGUUGAAGUGUCGAUUUUUACCAUACAUUUUCUUGACUUCAAAGUUGUGUGCAUAUGGUUGGACUGCAUUCUUUGCAAUGUACCGUCUCCGAACUUCAUCUUGAUCAUCAACAUUGUACUCCGAAAUAGGAAUCCUUUCCCCUGGAUCAGGUGGAAGCCUUUGAAUAUUAUAUGACCUUGCAUGUGGAUGUUGGGGUGAUGGUUGCCGUGGUGCUUCAUCAUCAAUAUCAAUGUCAAUCUCUGCAUCGGAAUGGACUGGAGGUGGAUCAAUAUCAAUGUCAAUCUCUGCAUCGGAAUGGACAGGAGGUGGAUCAACAUCAAUGUCAAUCUUUGCAUCCAAAAGGACUGAAGGUGGACCAAUAUCAGGUUCCGGUUGCUCUUCGGCUGCAACCUUUCUUGAUUUUGCCUCAUAAUUCCGAAAAAAGACUUGAUGUCACCAUUCCUUUUCAUCUUCGGUUCUAUAUUUAGAACAUAAUGUCAGCAAGACAGUAAGACUAGAACAAAAAAUGGCACAUCCCUAGUCCUCUGGAGCUUUUUUUGUUCACAAAACAACAAUUACUAAGAAAACACACCCUACUGAUGUUCUGCACUUCUGCUAACAGCCUAACUAUAUUUUGUACAAAUUUAGAAACAACACUACAGAGGCAAAGCUGCAGUAUAACAAAUGGGAUCUAGCAUCUGGUCAAAAACACACCCACUAACCCACGACCGGGGUGGAGAGCACCGGAACGGGCAGGAACGGAUCACCGGAGGAGAACGGGCGUCGGCCAUCGGGAGAUGGGAUCAGAUCCUCCGGAUAACGGAGCGGCGACCGUCUGGUCCAGGUCGGCUCGACGCCGACGGCGCCUCGGCAGGGGAGGCGGGACGGGCGAUGGCCGCGACGGGAAGGAACUCUGUUCGCACACGAACACGUCAUCGUGUACCGUCGACACCGGGGGUGAUGCACCGCAGCUCACGUCGAAGAAGACCCGUCGGAAGCGCGGUACGCAAGACAAUCCGGCAGGCGCUUUUGUAGACCCGAAACCCCACACGCCCGGGAGGGACCCCGUCUGGGCGCGCGGCGGCUAUGGGCUGCCCUAGGUCGACCUGAUCGCCCCUAGGGCCUCGAGGUUCGCCGCCCUGCAAUGAAGAAGAACGAACGAAGAACGAGGAAGAAGAAGAACAAGGGAGAAGGAAAAGUAAAGGUAAAAGUGUAGAUAGAUUUGAUCGAUUGUGUGUUGUUGUUCAAUCGGCCGUCACCUCUUGUCUAUAUAAAAGGCGGGUGGACUUCCCGUACAAGAAAAGGACUUGCCUAGCCGUCCAAAUCAUCAAAACCUAAUAAAACACGGACUAUUCACGACCCCCGGCCCGGAUGUCCGGCUCAAGGCCCGGAUGAUCCGGCCUAGCCCAGUUUUUUGACAGCAGCUCACUGUUUUGGCUCUAGAAUCCUCAUACGACCACGGAUUUGGACGUUUUUUAUAUCCAAAUCAACCGUCUCGACGAGACGCACAACUUUCAUGUUGAACACUUUUUCAUCCGAGGCCAUCUUGAGGGUAUUUCGGGCCGUUUUCUAAAGUCUGCAGCAGAAAAACGUGUCCGGACAUCCGGACGAUUGCCCGGAUUGUUCGGCCUUUACCCGGAUUAUCCGGGAGUUGAUCCAGAUCAUCCGGCUUCAACUUUUAGCUUCUGUUGUUUUGGUCAAUUUUUCGGCCCUCGGCCGGAUGAUCUGGACCCUGGUCCGGAUGAUCCGGCCAUACAGUGCUGCAGCACACAGUUUUGGCUAUAACUUUUGCAUACGAACUCGGAUGAGGACGAUUCUUAUAUCAAAAUCGUCCGUUUCGAUGAGACGAAGAACUUUGCAGUUGUAACUUUUUCCAUCAAAGGCCAUUUUGGGGCGUAAUCAGCCGAAUACUGUUCUGAACACAAAAUCUCAAUACUUCGAAUACAACUUCGGCCUUAGAGAUGAGAUCGGAUGGCUAUGGCCCAAAAAUCAAAAUUUCUCCUUUUGAAGAUAUGGCUUUGAUCAUUUUUCCAUUUAAGACCUUUUUAAUUACGUUUUUGACCAUGCCAAAAUCUGGUGUCAACACAUGCCCCCAUGUUUUUCGGUAAACUUGUGUGCCGAAAAAUAACUUGCACGAAGUUUGUUCUAAGCACGAUGUCAACACUCCAUCGGCCGUUUUGUACGUGCUUUGGACGAUAAGUAUAUAUCGGCCAUUUAGAUUAGCAACAAAAAUGAAGCUAAUCGAACAUAUAAUGAUAUGGUAAUACCCUUUCAUGAUGUAAGAAAUUAUAUUGCAUCCAUGGGUCAAAAUAAGUCCACGGAGGGUAACCAGUCAUACCUGAGGAUGAAUUCCAUGGCAUAUGCAUUAAUGACAUAGUUGAAGAAUAUGAAUGUUGUUUGAACCGAAGAUUCUGAUGUGCAAACCCUCGACUUGGUUGUUCGAAGCUUGCACUCUUCUCUUUCUUCAUCUUUGUCGCACUUAUUGCAACGGAAUAUUACAUAUUAUUCUUGUUUUUAGUACUUCCUUUGGGAACCCAUGCCAUGUUCAUCUUUUCAAGUUCUUGUGCACUAAGCUUUUGUACUUUCUUCUUUUGCCAAUACGGUAAGCCGAGUGGGCACCCCGGCUGCGAUUUUCUUUGAAGUAAUGGCAAUUCUUGUUUUAUCUUGGGCACUCUCAACUUCCUCCCUUCAGAUUUGGCACUUGAUUGACUCUCAACAAUUGAUUGCUUCAUCUCAUUGCCUUUAGUAGCCAAUGUCAACAUUUUAGUUGGCUCUUUUUCUUUUGAGAUCAAAUCUGAAGUAGCACUCUUACGACCAUCUCUUUUAACGCGGUAAACUUGCUUGACCACCUUCUUUCUAUUCCUUGAGCACUGGACCGAUUCCUUAUGAUCGAAACGGUCUUUAGCAUGUGAUUGUUCAAAUGCUGAUCUUCUUGGAGCUGCAUAGUAUUGGUGAGAUGGUCUAGAAUAAGAUGGAGAAUGUGCCCUUGUAUCAUACCUGUCCCAUGAUGAAUAUGUAUCUAUAUGAGCAUAGGGAGGCAUCCACGGCAUUGGCAUUGGCGGCCCAAAAUAAGGAUAUGAAUAUGUUGCAUUAAAAUUCGCACUUUGCCAAUACCGAUCCUCAUAUUUGCGCCUUGGGGGUGAUCUUGGUUUCUUUCAUGAUUUGGCCGAUAAGUAUUUUUCUCUUCACUCUUCUUUUGAUAUUUAUCCAGUAGUUCAGGAAAGGUGAUUUUUGAUCUCUUAUACUUGCGCUUAUUUCGGCCUUUGUUUCCUUUGGUUGUGCUUGCACCAAUCAUUGAAUUUGCUUGUUGCCCCCCAGUCCUUGGCGUCUCCAUUUUAUCUUCGAUGGAAUUCUCGCCCUCAAAAUUAUGUUCAUUAUGCUCUUCAACAACUUUUUUACUUGAAAGCUUGACCCCAUCACCUGCAGUUUUUACCUCCUCUUUAAAUGGAUCGGCUUGAAGCAGCCGAUGCAAAAACUUUCUGCCAUCUAGACCAAUCGGAAUAGACUGGUCAUCUCUUGGUGUCUCAACAAAUUUCAACCGUCCUUUAUCAAUGGCCGAUUUAACUAUUUGACGAAACAUAUUGCAAUCCUCAAAAUUAUGUUUGAACGAAUGAUGCAACCUACAAUACAUUCGUCCUUGAAUUGAUGGCUUGACAUGGUGAUCAAGAAUUCUUAUGUAAUUAUUUUUCAGCAAAAAAUCAAAUAUUUGGUCACACAUGCUUGAAUUGAAGGUAAACUUCUUGCUUUCUAGCCGAUCUUGCUGUGUGAACGGCUUUGAAGAUAAGCAAACGAAUGGUUCAGAUUUGGAAUCUUCCCAUUCGGCUAUACAUUGUGUUUUCCACUCUAUCUCCGGUGUCUUUGGAUAAGAUAUUAUAUUAGCAUCGGAUUUCUCAAAAGAAAUUAACCUUGACUUUAAACUUCUGAUUCGAAAAUAUUUAGAACACACAUGUCUCAAUUGAGACAAAGUGCAAGCCAAGUAAGAAAUAAGCAAAGCUACCCAACUAGAUAUGAACUUUAGAUAAAGCAACGGGGAAAGCUUUGGCCACAACAAUAAGUCAUUAUCGGUCUUUAUAAAUGGUGCAAUGGGUUGACCGAUAUAGUCUAUAACAAUUUUGUUGCUAACAAGUAAAUUACCCUUCUUCAUUGGUCUUUCAAAAUUACUUAUGAGAAUUUUUCUUAUAGAAGCAUCGACAAUAAAGUUGCGACCAAAUCGGAAGAUAGGCAAGUCACUUGCUAGACAUACCUCUUCAAUUACGUUGGGAGAGCAUGAUGGUUGUAUCACUUGAAUAAUACUUUGUUCCAUUUUUGAAUGACUCUCCAAUGCCUUGGCAUUCUUUUUUUCUUUGAUAGAUUCGGUACACAUACUAUUUGAUUCGGCUUUUUUAAUAACCGAAUUAACUUUGUUAUCCGAAUCACCACUCUUUCUUUCUUUGAUUCGCAAGGUUGCUUGUUCUUGUCUAAAUUCAGCAAACAUUGCAGCUAGUCUAUCUUUAAGCUUUUUUCGACCAAUUUCAGCCCAAUCUUCAUCGGAUUGCCCCCCAAUACUUUGAGACGCUUUCGGCAAUGGUGUGUUGCCGAAAUUUUGUAAUUGUGCAGGGGCAACAUGAUAUGCUACAUUACUAGGUAAAGACACAUGCGCUCUGGUAGAAUUCUCACUUAUUCGGCCAUGAGCAUGAAGGUGCGGAGCCGAAUCACGAAUAUCUACAAUUGCGUAUGGUGCCGAAAAAUUCAUAGCAUGAGGUGUAGCAUAUGAUGUUUGAGGGUAAUUGGCCGAAUAACUAGUAGUAGCAUGACCAAUUCCCCUAUCCACCGGCACGUUUGGAUUAACAUACUGCAAGUUAUUUGCCGAUGAAUAAAAAGUUGAAACACUUUGUUGCAUACUAUUGGAAGUUCCUACAUGGGGUGUAUCAACAUGAUUAACCGAACUCAUCAUGUUGUUCAUCGGCAUAUAGAUUUGUGGGGUUGCCGAUGCAUGGGAGUUCGGAUACAUAUGUUGCAUGUUGCUAAAAUUAUAUGAAGUUGAAGCAUGAAGAUUAUUCUGAAUCGGCUGUUGCACAUAAUUAGAUGCAUGAUUGAUAAAACUAGGGCUAGCCGAUACAAUAUGCUCAUUAGACGAUCUAGCAACAACAUAUGCAUUAUUUGCAUCUACAUAAGUGAAUUGGGUAUUCAUGUUACCUUUGUAGAUUGCAAACCCUAGAUGACGAUCUCUUCGUAGCAAGAACGGGCCGGAGACCGUUCAAAGCUUCGUCCCCAGCGGAGUCGCCAAAAAGUGUGUUCGCACACGAACACGUCACCGUGUACCGUCGACACCGGGGGUGAUGCACCGCAGCUCACGUCGAAGGAGACCCGCCGGAAGCGCGGUACGCAAGACAAUCCGGCGGGCGCUUUUGUAGACCCGAAACCCCACACGCCCGGGAGGGACCCCGUCUGGGCGCGCGGCGGCUAUGGGCUGCCCUAGGUCGACCUGAUCGCCCCUAGGGCCUCGAGGUUCGCCGCCCUGCAAUGAAGAAGAACGAACGAAGAACGAGGAAGAAGAAGAACAAGGGAGAAGGAAAAGUAAAGGUAAAAGUGUAGAUAGAUUUGAUCGAUUGUGUGUUGUUGUUCAAUCGGCCGUCACCUCUUGUCUAUAUAAAAGGUGGGUGGACUUCCCGUACAAGAAAAGGACUUGCCUAGCCGUCCAAAUCAUCAAAACCUAAUAAAACACGGACUAUUCACGACCCCCGGCCCGGAUGUCCGGCUCAAGGCCCGGAUGAUCCGGCCUAGCCCAGUUUUUUGACAGCAGCUCACUGUUUUGGCUCUAGAAUCCUCAUACGACCACGGAUUUGGACGUUUUUUAUAUCCAAAUCAACCGUCUCGACGAUACACACAACUUUCAUGUUGAACACUUUUUCAUCCGAGGCCAUCUUGAGGGUGUUUCGGGCCGUUUUCUAAAGUCUGCAGCAGAAAAACGUGUCCGGACAUCCGGACGAUUGCCCGGAUUGUUCGGCCUUUACCCGGAUCAUCCGGGAGUUGAUCCAGAUCAUCCGGCUUCAACUUUUAGCUUCUAUUGUUUUGGUCAAUUUUUCGGCCCUCGGCCGGAUGAUCUGGACCCCGGUCCGGAUGAUCCAGCCAUACAGUGCUGCAGCGCACAGUUUUGGCUAUAACUUUUGCAUACGAACUCGGAUGAGGACGAUUCUUAUAUCAAAAUCGUCCGUUUCGACGAGACGAAGAACUUUGCAGUUGUAACUUUUUCCAUCAAAGGCCAUCUUGGGGGCGUGAUCAGCCAAAUACUGUUCUGAACACAAAAUCUCAAUACUUCGAAUACAACUUAGGCCUUAGAGAUGAGAUCGGAUGGCUAUGGCCCAAAUAUCAAAAUUUCUCCUUUUGACGAUAUGGCUUUGAUCAUUUUUCCAUUUAAGACCUUUUUAAUUACGUUUUUGACCAUGCCAAAAUCUGGUGUCAACAAACUCCAGGUCUCCAGGGGCGGCCUCCAAGCGCGAGAGCCGAGCGGCGGCGGCCGAGCGCGAGCGGGAAGCGGCGGCGGCCGAGCGCGAGUGUGGAGCGGCGGGGUGGAGCGCGAGCAGGGAGCGGCGGCGGCUGAGCGCGAUGCGGCUCUGCCUCUCGUCUCGCUCGCUCACAGUGGAGCCCGAGAGGAUGAGGUGGGCCUGGGCAGUGGGCUCAAUAGUCAAAGAAUUAGUCAAUGAUGGUGUGAUUUAUAUGUAUAUAAAAAAAAUCUCAGAAUUUCUGGGUGUGCCACGGCACACCCGCUGGUUCUGCCAAUGGUUGGAGGAAACGGGUGGGAGAAGAAUCAGUGAACACUUAGGAUAUUUGCGCUGCGUAAAACUUUGUAGUUUUUCUGCUUUGUUCUCCUCUUUAUCUAAACAUAAUCGUAAAAAAGUGGGUUUUUUAGUGCUGGGCCCAGCAAAAGAGAAAUCGCCGUAUACUAGGCCCUCCAACUUCUUAAGAGGUUUACCUAAAAUUUUCGCGCUCAACUAACUAACUAACAGAAAGAUACUAAUCUUGCGCCAUGCCAAGCUUCAUGGACGUGCCAUCCCACGUUCCUUGACCAUGCCUCAGUUCUAAGCUGCUAUGGCCGUAACAGCAUGCAGCUACUGAUCCAGCCAUGUCGUGAACAGGCUCACGCUGCAUGGAUUGGUCAUUAUUUUUGCUAGAAAUAAAACCUACGACAUGACAUGAUAGGAUUACAGACUUCAACAUAUAUAGUUGGCAUAUGAAUGACUCGAGGCAAAACCAAAACCUAAAGCGGCCUCCGCUACAAUAGACACUGGCUUCUCACUAGAACUCGGAUCAUAUAUCAGCACGCAUUCAUUACUUGCCAUAAUGCAAGUGCGCUGAAAGGCACGGGAUAUGGAUUAGAAGAGGGUCGCUGGAUGAGUGUGUGGUAUGCCUCCCGCAUGGUUGGCCUUGCUUGUGGAGAAGAUUCCAAGCAAGAGAAGGCCAGCUUGAUGAGCAGAGCUAAGCUAUUCUCUUCCAUUGUUGUUGGUGUUGUCGGCCGUUGGUCCAGAAUAUCAUUCACCAAUAUAGUUUGUUCCUCGCUUGGUAAACUACCGUCCAAUAGAUCCAUUGGAUGCUUCCCCAUGACUAGCUCCAACACAACCACGCCAAAGCUAUAGACGUCACAUUUCUCUGUCACAACAGAUGUGUAUAAUAGCUCUGCACCAAAUCAAAACAUUAGAAUUAGGAACAAAUGGAUCGAGGCGAAUGCUUCUGGUGUGAUAAGAAAGGUUUACUAGCACAUACCAGGAGCUAUGUAGCCAUACGUUCCUGCUAGUGCACUCCAGUUUGAUGAAUCAGGCCUAAGAACCCUUGCCGUGCCGAAAUCCGAGACAAAAGCCUUGAAGGUUGUAUCAAGUAAGAUGUUGUUGCUCGUGAUAUCUCGAUGGAUUAUAGGCGGACUGCAUUCGUGGUGCAAAUAAGAUAUUGCUUGAGCUACAUCAGUUGCAAGAGCAAUUCCCUUCUUCCAAUCUAAUUCCUUUGCUAGCUCUUGAUUUUCCAAUGUCAUGUGGAGGCUGCCCUGCUGAAUGUAGUCGUAGACAAGAAAUUUAUAUGUUGGAUGGGAGCAGAAUCCAUACAUUUUGACAAUGCUUCGUUGUCUGAUUUGUGAUAAGAUUUCCAUUUCACUGCAAAAUCUUCUUUCGUCAUCCAACUCCUCUUCGGUCUGAUGAAGCUUCUUCACAGCAACUAGCUGCCCGUCUUGAAGUUGUGCCUUGUAGACUUUGCCAUACCCUCCUCUUCCAAUGAUGUACUUAUCAUUGAAGUCUUCCGUUGCCCUUACAAUAUCGUCAAAUGCCAAUCUUCCAUCAAAAUUCCAAACCGAGAAUAGGUCCCUUGCUUGAGCAGUAAUACUUUCUUGUGGUUUUCUCUUCUUAUGAGUAAGUAUUAUUAUGACAGCAGCCGCAACAACAGUUCCAAAACCAAGCACAAGAAUAAGUGGCAAAAACAAACCAAGUAUCUUCCCUUUUUGGUGAGCAGCUACUGCGGUUGAAUUACAAGGUGGCAGGCCAGAGAUGUUACCACACAGACCUUUAUUGGAAAGAAAGCAACUUGCUGAAGCAUUUUGGAGUAGGCGUGUUGUUGGGACCGGUCCUUCCAAGUCGUUGUAGGAUACAUCGAGUGUUGAAAGGCUCACCAUGCUUGCAAAGGAGGAUGGAAUACUGCCACUGAACUGAUUAUGUGAUAAAUUCAGAAAUUCUAGCAUUUGCAACUUUCCAAGUUGCUGCGGCAACACACCACCGAGGCUAUUGUUGCUCACAUCUAACAUGAUCUGCAAGCCUGCUAAGUUUCCAAUGGCACCGGGCAAACUUCCACUGAAGUUGUUGUUGUUGAUCUUCAAGGAUAGCAGUUUUGUGCACGCCCCUAGUUCCUCAGGUAUCAAUCCACUCAGUCUGUUCCCAGAUAUAUCAAGGUAUGCAAGAUUGCGUAGCUUUUUUAUGUGUGUAGGUAUGGAUCCAGAUAAUUGGUUUGAUGACAAGUUCAGGCUAGAUAGGUUUGCUAAAGUGCAGAUUUCUGGUGAAAUCUCACCACUCAGAUGAUUAGAAUCGAGUGUUAGUUCUUCUAGGUUGGACAAUUUAGAAAGGAUUGGAGGUAUGGAACCUGUGAUCUUAUUUUGUGCUAGAUUUAGUACCGUUAGCUGGGUACAUGCACCUAGAUUUGGUGAGAUCUGCCCAGACAGUCUAUUCGAUGCUAACCGCAUCUGUACAAGUUGUGGAUAGACACCAAAAUGCUGAGACAGAUCUCCUGUUAGUUGGUUCGACUCAAGGCGAAGUCGAACCAAACUCGUACAUGUCUUUAAACUGCUUGGAAUAAAUCCAUUGAACAUAUUAGAAAAGACACGGAGAUAUUGAAGUUUGCCACCUGAACAUAUAUUUGUGGGUAAAGGUCCUGAAAGUGAGUUGCUAGACAACGAAAGUUCAACAAGGCUGAUGAGAUUUCCAAAUUCUUUAGGAAGAGAACCUGAUAAUUUGUUAUCAAAGAUACGUAUUCCUUGGAUGCUUUGCAAGUUCCCAAAAGUUUUUGGUAUUGAUCCUGAAAUUUGGUUCUGAGACAAGUCUAAAUAUUCGAGGUUCAUCAGAUUGCCAAUUUCCUGGGGGAUGGACCCGCUUAUCUGAUUUGUAGAGAUGGUAAGUUGUACUAGCUUGGUUUUAUUUCCUAAGGUGCCAGGAAUAGAGCCAUAUAUUUGGUUGUUAUCCAAUUCUAAAUUUUGGAGAUUCAGCAAGUAGCCCAAUUCUAAAGGUAUUGGGCCUGUGAUUUGAUUUUCAUAGAGAACAAGUACAUUGAGCAUAGUGAGGUUCCCUAGUUCUGGGGGUACUGAACCUGUUAUUUGAUUUGUGUAGAGAGCAAGUUCGUUUAGCAUAGCAAGGUUGCCUAGCUCUGGGGGUAUUGGACCUGUGAUUUGAUUUUCAAAGAUAAAAAGUCGGUUCAUUUUAGUGAGAUUGGUUAUGGAGAUCGGAAUUGAACCUGAAAAAUCAUUUGAACUAAGAUCAAAACUUUGCAGAUGGACUAGCAUGCCUAGCUCUUGGGGUAUAGGCCCUGAAAGUUGAUUACCAAACAGGUUCAAAAUAUUCAAUUGGGUAAGAUUUCCAAAGAAUUUUGGUAUUGUGCCUCUUAAGGUGUUGUUGCUUAGCUGUAGAAGUUCUAGGUUAACAAGCCUUCCAAUCUCCUCAGGAAUAGGACCUGAUAGCAUGUUUUGGUGGAUGACAAGAUCGGUUAAUAUUGUUAGGUUACCCAGAGACACGGGGAUAUGUCCUGUGAAUUUGUUAAAUGAGAGGCUAAGCACCUUGAGACUUUGCAGGCUACCAAUCUCAUAAGGAAUUUUCCCUGUGAGCUGGUUGUAGGUAAGGUCAAGUCCUGAAAGUGCUGACGGGGAACUGAUACUAGUGGGUAGUUCACCCUGGAGACUGUUGUUAUGGAGAUCAAUAUGUGUGAGGAAUGGAAGAGCCGAGAAGUUGAGCUCACCAAGCUGGGCACGGAUGCCAGCAUCUGGCAGGGAGAUGUUGGUCACCACCCAGGGCAUGCGGUGUCCAUGGUGAACAGCCGUGCACAUGAUGCCCGUCCAGUUGCAGGGGCUGGUGUUUUCCUUCCAAGAGCUCAUCUGCAGCGGUGGACUUGGAAUUGUAGCUUUCCAGUGGAGGAGGGCCAUGUGUUGAGACCUCAAUGAGAUCCCACCAUGGCGCGCCGCCUGUGCUUCUUGCAAGAGAAGAAGGCACAACACCUGCAGCAGGCACAUGUAGAACAAGGUUUCCAUUUUAAUGCCUAGUAUUUGCAAGUUGUGUUGGCUGGUGGUGGGAUUCACUAUACACUGCAACUCUACUGAUAUUUAAAUAGUGUUAUGAGGUCCUCAGUGAACUCACACCAGUUCCCUGGAUGACUAUUCCAAGGUCUUGUUCGGACGCUAUCACAUUCCUUUGGCAGCUGCUGCAGGGCUGCCUGUUUUGCAUCUUCAGUGUCGCCAUCUCUGCCUCUAUUUUCUUUCCUCAUUCUCGGGGGAAAAUGAGACAUGAAUUAUUCCUAGAAAGCAUUACCCACAGCAUAGGCCUACUCAUAUCUUUUCCAAUUCUCCUAUGUAAAAAACUCGCGCGCUGAAUGGACUUGAGUUAACAUUGCGGUAGAAUUUUUAUUUGAUAGUAUCUCCUGUGAUUUGUUUGAUAGUUUUUCUUUGGUAACUGCUUCAAUUAUGAAGAAAUUUAAGCAGCUUGUGUAAAGCAGUUUCUAAAAUGUUUCCCUUUGUGCUGUUCCCCUGGUACAUAGAACAAGAGAUUUAGCUCAAGGACUCGUGACUGGUUGCGCAACAAAACAAUUAUUUGUGGGGAAAUUCCAUGCUGCAAUUUUGUCGAUGUUAAAAUUAAAAGUUUCUCUACUGAAUUUUGUUUAAUACAAAUCCUGGACCCCAAGUCUUGUUUGAAGUCAUGUGUCUGAGGGAAAUGGAGGUAGUGACUGUAACCUGUGGAAUUUCAAGGUCUGUACAACCAUGCAGCAUCUUCACCACACAAGCUGAUGCAAAAAUCUAAGCUCAAGUGGGUUACUAGUGUUUUCUGUACGUCUGCCAGCCCAUAUACGUGUUGAUUGCAACGACAAAUUAGAACAGAAUAUUUGGCUCGAGGACUCGUGACUGGUGGCGCAAGGCAACGACAAAUUACGUGCUGGAAAUCAUUUCACAGGCGGUGGUGAAAACAAAAGGUUUUAGUGUUGAAUUGUGGUGGAUACAAAUCCUGGGCCCCAAGUCUUGUUGAAUAUUCUGUGUCCAAGGGAAUAUGAGGCGGUAGCUGCAAUUUGUGUUGAAUUCAAAGCCGGUACAACUGAGCAGGAUCAUGACCACACAAGCUGAAGAGAAAAAUCCAAGCUCUAGUGGGUUACUGUCCCGCGUGCGUGUUGAUUGCCGACAUGCCAGUAUUCCCAGGUGUGCCCUUUGUAAUUUCCCAGUAAUCAAAAGUGUGCAAAUUAUUACUGUUUUUGUGAGGAGUUUGGUAGGUCAUAGCAGUGCAUAGGGAAGUACAAUACAACAUAGCAGGAAAGGCACUAUUGUCUAUACUGUUCACAUUUUUUAUUUUGGAACGAUGGCGAGUGAUAAAAUGACCUGUUCAAUUUAGAGGAGUGUCGGUAUCUACUUUUUCUGAAAGAGGGAUUCCUGUCGGCUGUACCUGGGGCUUUUCAUACUGUAUCAUCUCAUCCCGUCCUCACUAACCAAUGCUUGAAACUCUUAUGAGUACAACAUUUGUUGUUCCAUGUGAAUCUCUUAUGAGUAUAUACACAUAUGGAACAUUUGCCUGUUGACCAAACUUCUUGUGUAACACUCGAUGGUUGUUCAGAGUAUUAUGUCAAGCUACAGGGAGAGAUCAAGCGUUGUAUUCCCAAGCAUUGCAAUCGUAUCUACACAGUGCUUUGCCACCGUCACCAUCUCCUGGCUGGGUUGAGACGAGAGAUGCCUCACUCUGCUUCUGCACAUACAUCUGUAUGUCUACUAAACAAAAUCUUAUGCAUCAGCAGGCCACAAGAGCAAUCAUGGCAUAUGCAUAUGCUUUCAGUAUUUCCCUGUUUAUUUGAUCACGUAAUUUGUAAAUGCUAUUGUUUCCCUUUUCGCUUUUCAUAUAACAAAAUGUCUUAAGCUAUGUUCAGUUAUGUACAUAGAACAAAAUAUUUAGCUCAAGGACUCACGACUGGUGACGACAAAUUGUGUUGAAAUUUCACCAUUGGUGGUGGCAAAUAAAGGUUUUAAUGUUGAAUUGUGGUUAACAAAAUCCUUGACCCCAAGUCCUGUGUCCGAGGGAAUAUGAGGCAGUACAACCGAGCAGCAUCUUCACCACACAAGCUGAAGAAAGAAAAAAUCUAAGCUCAUGUGUCCGGGGUGACGCGGUUGCGAGAGGGGAGAGGGAUGACUAUUCUUCAGUGUCGCCAUCUCUCUCUACUGGAAGUUCCAAGCUCUUGUUUGGACGCUAGCACAUCCCUUUGGCAGCUGUUGCUGGGCUGCCUGUUUUCCUUCUUAAGUGUCGCCAUCGCUUCCUUUAUUUUCUUUUCUCAUCCAUGCAGAAAAAUGACACAAGAUCUUUCCAGAUUCUCCUCUGUCUUCAGUGCCGCAGCCUCGCUUUCUCCUAAUGUGCAGAGUGGGCUUGAGUUAACACUUGCAGUGGAGUUUUUAUUUGAGGGUAUCUCCUGUGAUUGGUUCGAUGGUAUUUCCUUGUUUAUAUUUGAUCAUGUAACCUGUUACUGCUUCAGUUAUGGCAAUUCCGUAAAUAAAUUGGAGCAGUUUGUCUUGAGCUAUCCUCUAAAUGUUUCCCUUUUCAGUAUGUAGAACAAAAUAUUUAGCUCAAGGACUCGUGGCUGGUGGCACAGCGUAAGGACAAAUUGUGGUUAAUGCAAAUGCUGGACCUCAAGUCUUGUUGGAAGUCAUUUGUCCGAGGAAAACGAUGAAAUGGCACUGUACAACCAUACAAGUCUUGUUGGAAGUCAUGUGGAAUUCAAAGCUUGUACAGCAAGCAGUAUCUUCACCACACAAAACUGAAGCAAAAAUCCAAGCUCAACUUGGUCGACGCCUGCCGGCCCACGUACGUUGUCGAUUGCUUGUAGCAUCUAACACGGCGAUAUUCCCAGGCAUGCCCCUUCAUAAUUUAUGAGUAAUCAAAUGAGUGCAAAUUAAAUCCACUUGUCGACCUCUGAUAUUCCGUCGAAAAUCUGAGAAGGCACUGAGCAAGGUAGAAGAAGACUUGUUUUGGAAUAAUGGUGAGUGAUAAUGGGAGCUGCUCGCCAUACGGUAGUUAGUUGUACAUCCUCACUAGCUGAGUUGAAUUAUGAUGGACUUUCGAGGUUGAAUUGGUAUCCGCUCUCUUAUGAGUACUAGUUGAAUGCCCGUACGUUGUUACGGGAUUAGAUAACAAUAUCGCUCUAGUCCUAUUGUUUUGUUUCAUUUUUCCUCCUCUAUUGGUUUUAUUUUUUUCUUGACACGCAUCUUAUUUCUCAUAUACCCCACUAAUAAUAAGACAAAGUUAUUCUUCCUUGUCUUUUUUAUCUAAGUGCAUACUUAGCUUGUUUAUUUACAAACAUAGAUUGAAGCUUCCUACCAUGCAUUAAACUAAUUUCUCUUUCCUUCAAAUUUUGAAAACUCGUUCACAAACUCCGAUGUCUUUUUCCAUCCACAGCAAUCACCAUGUUUGUUUCUCCGCACCCACAGAAAAAAAACUAAGAUAGUACGUUAUCACGUGAUUUUUUUAAUCUAGAUAGGUGUUCUGAGGGUUAACUCAAGAAUUUAACCAUGUGGUCACCUGGAUCGCCGCUACAUGUUGUCGUCAUCGCCUUCGGCAGCAUGCCCUCUAAGGUAAUGACUAAUGAAUGGCGUUGCUUUGAGACCAAAAAUAUCCCAAGAGACGAUAGCUAGCACAUCACACUAAUUAAUUGAACUGGCACCUGCACAAUAUGACACUAUUGAGAUAAAACUCGUGCUAUAAUCACAAGAAAAACACGUGCAACAGAAGAAUAAUCACACGAGAAACACGUGCUACAGAAGAAAUAGAGCAUUAAAAGGUGCACCUCGUGAUUACGUGAAACUGGAACACCAACCAGAUGAAGGUCCAACCUUUUUCUCUGUAUUAUGAGCAUUUAAAGGUUCAUCUCUUGAUUACGUAGCCGUAUUCCUUGUACUUCGCCUGAUUAUGUGGUCGUAUUCCUUGUACAUCACUUGAUGAUGUGGUUAUAUUCCUUGUACAUCGCCUGAUUGGUCUCCAGUGCUGGCGGGCUGCCAAAGAGAUCGGGUGUAUGUGAAGGAAAAUAUGCGUGACUGUAUACCUUACCUCUUGCCGAAUGUUUUUUGUUUGUAGCAAUUGAUGGUCUCCUUUGCGCAGCCGGACAACUAAUCCUCCAACUGGUCUACUAACAAUUCAGACUAACACGAUUAGGAUAGAUUCACGGUCAGGGUGGAUAACCACAUAGUUUUGUACUGUACACUACCAAAGUAUUUAUCCAUGUACAUAAUCAACUCAAUUGAACCAACGACCAAAGAUUGAAGAUAUGACCCCCGGGACGAACAGAUGUUGUUCCAAACAAACCAAGCAGCACAUGGUUUUCCUAGCGAUUUUCUCGGUGCAGGAUCUCUCGAGGGGGGAGAAAAUGAGGUCGAACCAUCACGACAUUCGAUUCUGCUUUAAUAGUAGAGAUGUACAUGGUUGUCUUAUGUUGGAAGUUGUUCUCUGAACUCUCAACUUGUUAGAAAUGGUUUCUGAACUCUGAACUCAGAGCUGGUAUAAAUCCACUUCUCUUAUCUCCUUCUCUAUUAGAAAGGGAUAAAGGGAGCUGUUCUCUGAACUUCGACAAUUGUUCAGAUUGGUAUGUUUGCUGCUAAAUUUCCUGAAGAGAGAAGUUGGCAGGCACCUAACCUAGCUGACAUUACGUUUUGAAAGUACGUUUUGCCUUAAGAUAUUCUCUGCAGUAUCAAUGUUCCCCUUUUCGCUUUUCAGAUGCUACAUAGUAGUAGUACAAAAUAUCAUUGUGUGAAAAAUUCCGUGCUGGAAAUUCUGUCGAUGGCAAGGAUAAAAGGUUUCUGUGCAGAAUUUUGGUUGGCGCAAAUCCAGGACCGCAAGUCUUGUUGGAAGUCGUGCGUUUGGCUGCAUCGUGCAGAAUUCAAGGCCUGCAGAAGCAAGCAGCAGCAUCUUGGCCACACAAUCUGAAGAAAUGUUUCAGGGCACCGGCUGUGGUAGAAAUAAAGGUUUCAUUGUUGAACUCUGUUUAAUACAAAUCCUGGACCAUAAGUCUUGUUGGAAGUCGUCUGGCCAUGCUGCAACUUCUGGACUCAAAGCCUAUGCAGCCAAGCAACAUCUUGACCACACAAACUGAAGAAAAUACAAACUCAAGUGGGUUUUCUGUACGUCUACCAGCACGCGUAUGUGUUGGUUGCCGUGUAACGUCCGACAUGCCAAAAAUUUCUUCUUCAGUGUCGCCAUAUAUCCUCUAUUUUCUCCUGUGGAAAAAAUGACAGAUUAAUUUUCUCCUGUGAAAAUUUUCCUAGACAAUGAUGCAAACUCUAUAGCUCAUGAGCUAGCGAAAUCCAGUUUUUAUAUCAAGUGUGACGAUAGUUGGACUAAUGAACCUCCAGGGAUGUAAUUAUUCUUUAAUUCAAUAAAGCUAGCCAUGAUGGAAUUUGUGUGUUUGGAUGCAUCUUGUGGAAUUCAAGGCAUCUAGAAGCAAGCAGAACUGAUGCAACAAGCUGUCUUAUUACUAAAAUAAAAAGGAUUCUGAAAAUCAGAACCCUUUGAGCUGUUUUACAAUUUCAGGAUCUUUGUACCAAGCAAACACGUGAAUCCCUCAAAUGGUGUCUUAAUUCCUGCUAUUUUCAUGCACUCUUCAUAUAUACUCUUGACAGGCAAAAAGAGAUGUGACCCCCUCAAAAAGGUAAGAAGAAAAUGUUGUUGGGUACUGGAUGUCCAGAGCAAAGACAUGAUGUGACGUCUAUGUUAUAUGCCUUCAGUAGUCGCUCAAGUCUCAGUUGUUCCUCAACUUCACGUCAUUUUGGAAUCUAAACAUCCACAAUUAUGCUACUACCUCUGUACACUAAUACAAGACGUUUUUGAAGUUCAAUUCAACUACAAAAACGUCUUACAUUAGUUUACAGAGGGAGUAGCAACUAGCACUAUUCUUUUGAGAAGCAAUCAAAGACAUCUUCCGAUGGAGUCAAUAUCAACAAAACAAACAUCAAAACUUGACUUAUUACUACAUCCAUCCAUACCAAAAUUGGCACGCGAACAUAGCAGGCAGAUAUAUGUCUUCAAAAUCACUUACACAAUAAAAAGAGGGUUCAAGACAAUUGCUUAAAUAAUACAAAUAACACCAAAAGGUCAUAUAGUGCCUCCGCAGGAGAAACAGGGAAUCUUGUGGCCUACUUAUGCCGGUUUCGAAACGGCUACAGAGGGUAGAAAUUAAGCAACCAGAAUUACGGUUGAUAAUAAUACACAAGUGGUGCCUACUAUUAAAGUUUCAUUAAUUAGUUGCCAUCCGGAAUUCAUCAUAAAGGAAAAUCAUUGUCAUAAAGGUAGAGGGCAACAAAAAGUCCAGACAAGUGAAUCUAGGUCGGAUGACGCACAACCUUGUCCAAUGAUGCACACUGAACAACUUAAUGGCUUCAGCAGCAAAUUCAUACUAAUUUUUUUGGAGACCAAUUCAUCAAUAGCCGCCAAGACCAAUUUUCUUCAUAAGGGCAUUUGAACACUCGCUGGAGUACUGAACUGACUUGGCAACACGCUGCGCAGCUUGCAGAGAGACCUCACCACAAGACUCGAUGACCAAAGACUCUAACUUCUGUGCAUCUUCCAGUUCAGCCACUCCAACAUCAGUAAUGUUAUGACACAUCCGAAGUGUGAGAUUACUCAAGCAUGGGGUGUGCGCAAUGAAGCGCAUCCUGGCAUCAGUUACCGCAUGACACAAUAUAAGCUCGAGUGUCUCCAGAUGAGGCGAGGAUGAGAGGGCCUUCAUCCCCUCGUCAUCAAAGAAGUUGGCGUUGUUGAGUACAAGAACACAAAUUGGGCAGGACUGGAUGAGCACCAGAAAACCCUCUUGUGUGAAUCCUAUUUCUGAUGGCCAGUCAGCAUCACAUCCUAUAAAGCCGAGGUCUAUCAUCUGAAGCAUACGACAGUUGAGGGCUAGAGCGUAAAGGCUGUUAUCAGUAAAUGACGUCCUGGUCUCACAAUAGUUGACAUCACUCGAGUAGCGCUGCAGGUUGAGCCAAAGUGAGAUGCUUUUAAGGUUGCUGCAGCUCCGAGAUAAUGCAAUCAUGUCAUUGUCAUUUAGGGCACGAACAUACUGAAGGCAAAGCUUCUCCAAUGCUUUACGCUUCCCUAGGACAACACGAAGUCCUACUUCUGGCCAAGUUUCAAUAUGCGCCAACCUUAAAUCCUUCAAACUCUCACAGAAGAAAUCGUAUACAUCCAUGCUGUGAGCAUCGUACGAGGAGUCAUAGACCACAUUACCUGGAUCAAGAAGAUCAUAUCUUCCUCUUUUCCUCUCAAACUCAAACUUCCGGAGCUUCAUCCAUCCUGGACCAAACUUUAGGAAGUCAUGAUGAUUGAUUCCUUUGCAAUUCUUCACUACAAGCUCUUCCAGCGAUCCAUCCCUACCAAGGUAUUCCAUCCACUCUACAUUGUCGAUUUCAUCGCAAUCAGUAAGGUGAAGAGCAGAAAGAUUUGUGCAGCCAACUGCAACCGAGAAAAGCCCAACUGACGUUAUUUUUGGUGCGGAGUUGAGCCUGAGAGACACCAAUGUCUUGCAAUAAGCUAAACAAGCAAGCCCAGAGUCAUCGAUGCAUGAGCAGAAGCUUAAGGUGAGGUCAAUCAGCGAGGAACAGUGAGAUGAAAACACAGAAAGGCCUUUGUUGUCCAACUGAUUUCCAUGUCCAGGUAUCCAACCAGAGUAAUUGAUUUCCACUUUCCGCAGAUUUGGGAACCGGGCGCAGAAUGAUGUCAGUGCUUCUGUAGCCGUGCAAAGACCGGAACCAACACGGAUAGCAUCCCUUUGGUUCCCCUCUAUCUUGUAGAGCUGCUUUGACACAAGGGAAAGAGAAUUCAGAUCACCUGUCCUGGUGAUCCUGUUGAGAAUCUCUGUCAGUAGAGCCUCCGGUAGGUCCUCCAUCGAACAAUUCAGCUGUACCAAUCAGGUAAACACAUAUCAAGGUUCAGAAAACAACGGAAAGAGCUGGACUAAAACUUACGGUACAUCGGAAUAAUGCAUGUGAAGAUAGAUGGAGAUCAGAAUGGUGACAGACACUCAUUACGAAGAAUAUAUUGCUGACGAAGUUUGGGCAUUUUCUGUAUCCGUCCAAAACCUGUUUGUUCUUCACAAGCAUGGAGAAUUAUUAAAAUAGCUAGCACCUUAUCUGAGUCCAGAUUGUUAGAAAGAAAUGGUGACGCUACAGGCGGGCCACAUCAUUAAAUUAAACUAGAUACCACCAUAAAGUAGCAGAGCCUGAAUAAUGAACUAACUAAGAGAAUACAAAGAAACUAGCUAGAUCUGAUGCAAGCAAUUCUGCAAGAAGACCCAUGUGCUGAAUCUGAACCAACUUAUUUGGAGGCACGUAUCUAAUUAACAGUAACAUGAAAAGCAGAGCAUGCAAAUUGAAAUUAGUACUUGUAGCUCUUGCCUGGGCAAGAAAGAAAGCAGAGACAUCAUUUUGUCACGGCCGAUGAGUUCACAGGGUGCAGUUAUUAUUAAUAGAUAACGCCAAUUGUUCAAAAUAGAAAUACUGAUAUUUUCUGCAAUCCUAGGCAAGUACUCGAUCAGUUGCAAAAAAGCUUACUUUCUACUAGUAGUACCUAGGAGAAUGGCUUUACAACAUUAACAAGCUUUAGGUCCAACCAGGCACGCAGGGAGAUUUAUUAAAGUAGAUAGCACCUUAUAUGUGUCUGGAUUGUUAGGAAAAAAAAAAUGACGCUACAGGCGUGCCACAUCAUAAAAUUAAACUAGCUACCACCAUAAUUAAGAAGCAAGCAGAGCCUGAACAAUGAACUAAGUAAGAGAAUACAAAGAAACGUUCUGGAAUUGAGGCAAGCAAUUUUGCAAGAAGAAUUACUACUACUAAUUGCUGAAUCUGAACACGAAAAGCAGAGCAUAUAUGCAAAUUAGUUAGUACGUACUUGCAGCUCUUGGUUGGGCAAGGAAGAAAGAAAGUAGGGAAAUCAAUCAUUUUGCCAGCCACAGUCGAUGAGUUCACAGGGCCAAUCUAAUAUCUGUUCAUCAACUAGAAAUAAUACUAAUAUUUGCUGCAACCCUAGGCAAAAUGCUUACUUUCUACUAGUAGUACCUAGGAGAAAGGCUUUACAAGAUUAACUAAGUUUAUGGAUGGGGAUGAUACUACCGGGUUUUCAAGAACAAGAAAGCGAAUCGAAAAACGGCGGUCAUGUACAUGUCAAGUCGGGGAACCAACGCAACGAACAGGGAGGGAGGGGUCUCUCAGGAGGGGAGAAGAGAAAAAUGGCGGUACCUUCUUUGAGCACGACCCACCGGGAGAGGAGGACAUCGCCGCCGCCGGUCGACCUCGCCGGAGAGGCGGAUGAGAGUGCCGCCGCUAACUUCUUUGAUUCGGAGGAAGAGAGCAGAGUGUAAACCCUAGUCUCUGUAAUCCAGCGUAGCGGAGGAAGAUGUGGGCUCACAUGGGCUUUCCACACCCGGAAUGAGCUGCGGGCCUUCUACACUUUUUUACCACUAAAAAAACACAUUAAUGCCUAAAAAACACAUUUUUUUUCUUCAUAAACACAGGAAAAUCUAAAAGUAAUAAAAAAUAUAGAAUGCUCAUAUCAUCAUUUCAGUAAAUGAGUAAAAUUGUAAGGCAUUGUAAAAUAUGCCCAUGUCCACUGAAACAAAUUUUCAUCUACUUAUUAAAUUGUCUAGCAAUUUUUUUUAAAUGUUCCUGUAUGCAAAAAAGAAAUAUUCAUGUGUGACGCGAAAUGUUCACAUGUAUCAAAAUAAAAUAAAUGUAUGUGCUUAUGAAAAACUGGACAUGUAUUCUCAUAAAUGCACUUGUAUGUAUAAAUAAAUAAUGCUCAUGUACAUCCAUAUGAGUAUUUCGGAAGGAUACGUUAGUGGCAUCGCGCCCAAACGUCACAGAUAACUAAAUGCAAGAGAUACGUUCCGAAUUAGUGGCGUUGCCCACCAUACUCGCGGUUAGUAAAUAAUAUACUACUGACAUGACACUUUUCGACCACGCCAUUAGUAAAUGUUGACAGUAUUAAGAAAAUACUGCACUGGCAACUUUUUCCCUAAUUACUCUAUAUCUUACAUUUCUAAGAAGUUGAUACCAAUUCUCUCAACAUGUAAGGUGUCCACCUCAACAUCCCACUAAGCAAUGCAUUGAAGUAUUCUCUCCCACUAAGCCAUGCAAAAUCUGCCACAUAAGCGAGUCUUGCAUUUACAAUUAUUUUUGCAUUAGUCUAUGUAUGUCAUGCUACCACAUCAUAUAUUCAUGUUAGUAAUCCUUCACAUUUUGGUUUGAAAUGACAUUUUUUUACUGUAUUUGAAAAGUUUUUAUUCUAUUUUUAGACAUUUUCUUUUAUUGAUUUUCAAGCUUGUAUACGUCGUGUUCCGGGGCAAAGCUUAUUUGGAAAAUGUCCCAAGAAUGAUGGCUUUUGUAAAUCGUGACAGUACACCACCCAAUCUCCGGAAUUUGGAUCUUGUAGUCAACAAGGGAUUGAUGAUAUCCAUGAACAAUAAAUUUCAUGCACAAGAGUAGAAAACAUGUUGUCAUUAGCAAGAAUCUUGGAUGGCGUACAAUUUCCAAGAUUCCAGUGUUCCAUAUUUUCUUAAUAAAAUACAAAGCAUGGUACUCAGUAACCAUGUGAAUUUAUGCCUAACAAUUUUAAUAUUCAUAAAAUCUAUCUUUGUUAAUUUUAAUCCCCUAUUAUUAAAUAAUUGCAAUCCACUACCUAUUUUUCCUAUUCAAGCAGCCAUGCCACAUCAACAAGUCAUACAUGUUAGUUAUAAGUUUACUUUUCUUUCUAUGUGUGCAUCCAUACCACAUCAACAAGUCAUGCAUGUUCCUCGUAAGUUAUAUUUUUCAUAUGUGCUUGUUUUUCCUAUCCAUGCAGUCCUAGCAUGCCAGCAAGUCAUGCAUGCCCCUCAUAAAUUACUGUUUUUGCAUUUAAUUUUUGUUGUCGUGAAUGGAUCAUGUGUUGGACAAUCUGAGGAUACCUAUGUAGUUCAUUUUUCACAUUUUUGUUAGAAAAUUGAUAGUCUAUUAAGUACAAUCCAACUUAUUCUCUUUUGUAGUUGCUCUUAUAGCAUCUAGUUUACGUGUUUCAUUCGAUGAGGUUGCUGCAGGAACACACAUGUAUCAUCUAGUUAUUGUAGAAAUAGCAGCACAUUUGUGAAUAGGAAAAAUAGGUAAGCCUAACGUACUGACAUGGGUAUAAAUUCACUACCUAUUUUUCCUAUCUUUGUUAAUAUAUAUAGUAAUCUCCAGAAUGGGAUAAAUGGUGCACCUUGUUGAGGCUAAGCCUAAUGUAGUGGUCUUGUUCGCCAUAAAUUGAUGGAGGAGCAAUGGCUUGUCCAGGCACCAGAUUAGCUCGACUUGCAGAAACAAAUCCUGGGCACUGCAAGUUGUAGCACCCCUUUGAUUUCAAGUCCUUCUGAGCAAUUAAAAAAAAAGAAAACAUGCAUUAUUGUGGAUGUAAAGAGACUUCUACUUAGUCCAAUAAUGCCUCUAACUCCUAUAAAAUACAGAAAACUAUAUGGGAACCACAAUAAUAUAUAACUUGUUAAAAUGACAUUGUUAUACUUACGGUCCAAUAUGUAAAGAAGCGAAUAUCUCUGUUAUGGUACAAAGAGGGGGAAAUCUGCAAGCAAAACUUGAUUAUCAAAUUGUACUUUAUUCAAAAGCAUUUGAGUUUACCAUAAUGGGUGAUAUGUCUAUACAUGAAUUCCAACUUGAAUUAAGUUGUAGUUUCCUCCAUCUUGACAAUAUAUCUGUAAGGAUGCUCCAGAUUCUUGAGAAGUUUCUUGAUUUGGUGAAGCCCAUAUACUCAUGUCAGCUCGAAGGCCGUAGAAUUGUCCUGGCUCUGUGUGCCACAUUGCAUACUAGUGAUAGAUAAUUAUAGCUCAAAUUAGUAAAUAACCAUAAAAAUCUAUAAAGAACGACAUAAUAAAGAAGUGAGGGUGUGCAUUCUUGGCCUUCGUAUGAGGUUCACCUACCAGACAUUUACAAUGGGGAAUUUUUCAUGCUAUUUUGGAGUUAGUCUAGAUUUGUUUUCGUAGGCCUUGUUGAGUAUAUCAUACUGGAUUUAGCUUCCUCCACGGUGUGUGGUGUCUUUCCAACACAAUUAUACCUUUUGUGGUGAUGCAUGCAAUGCUUUAGUUCAUGUGCAUUUUCUACAGUCUUACUUAGGUGCAUGGGCUCACAUCUUAUCUCCUCCUUGUGGCAGGGGUGAAACAAGAUUUGAUUCUCUCUCUGAUAGGUGUGAAGCGUAUUGCCGAUAAAGUUGGUAUGUUAGUAUAAGUCUCCAAUAGAGUAUGUCUUAAAUGCCUUUGUGAAUAUGUUGUUCACGUUAUUUUGGUAGCAUGCUUUGUAUGUAAUGAUCAUAGCUUUCGCAGUAUAUAGGGCAUCAAGCUUAGUUCAUUUAGGUGUAUGUCUUUUAUUUGGUAUUUAUGUACGACCUUGUCUCUUGGGCCAUUGACAAGAAUUUAGCUUGACCAACUAUGAUAUAGGUACAUCAUUAAUGAAUGUAGUAUUUUUCUCCGUGGUUUAAAUAUGCGAUGCUUAUAUUGAAAAUACUUUGACUUUGCCUCUUGUGAUCAACACUCACCAAGAACUAAACAAAACAUCCCAAAUCUAACACAUGAAAAGGUAAAGAGAUAUAUAUACAGAGAAUGGGGGGAGAGUGUGUGUACAUGAGAAAUAAUGCCGCUUCCUUUAUCCAUGAUAUUAGCUCUCCAAGGAAAAUGGAAAGGUUUAGGUCUUAAAAGAGUGGUGUUCUGUAGAGGGAAAUAAUAGUUCAUGAGUAGUUAGCAUAUAUAAUUGAUGUACAGAGUCUUUGAAAGAUAAGUAUUCGUUUCACAUGUGUGUCCUACAUUUUAGUUGGGUAUAUAAGUAACAUAAAGUAGUUAUGAAUGAUAAACACCAAUAGUAAUUAUCAAGAUUAAGUGGUCAAGUAGAUUCAACAAUGGGAUAAUAUACAUAAACCAAUUGAUAUAAAGUUGUAUAUAUCAAAAUCUAAAAGUAAAAUAUUGGUUACCUUCUCAUUCGUCUGGAGAUUGACAUCUACGCCUAUCGAUUCAACAAAGGCGAGGUGGAAAGUUAUACACAAAAAGCAUAGUAAGACCGAUAUGACAACAUAAUCACCUCCCAUUUGCAUAGGUAAUUGUGUUAUUUUCAACGAAAUAGUAACUAUGUGAUUCCUGACGUACUUGUAUCUUCUUUAUAGAACACAACUUAAAUAGAAUUGAGCCAGGUUCUUUCUUUAGAAAGGUUUAUAUUGCAGUGUACUGAUCAUGCACUGAACAUUUGAUGGGUAGUCAUCCGGUGAACUUAUCUUUCUAGAGUUGGGUAUAAAUCUAUUGUUUAAUUAAUUUUCAGUAAAUAUGGACUUGGUUUACAUCCAAUUAAUGAUUGCUUGAUGGCCUAUCUUUUUAUAUGAAUAUAGAUCAAUUUAUGCCAAUAAUAAUUAAAAAUGGACUUGAUUUACAUCCAAAGAAUGGAUGUAUGAGGGCAUAUACAAUGGUCUUAUCUUAGAAGUGCCACAUAGGAUAAUUGCAGAGGUGGAGGAGAGAGAAACCAUAAGAAAAGGCUUGCCUUCUCUUCAUUAAGAGAUGAUCUCUUAGCAAUAUUUCUCUCACCACAUAAUCAGGAAUAUCUUGUUAUUAGAGAUAAGACUAAGAGUAAUACAUUGUACAUCAUUUUUUGUGUCUUCUCUAGAUUACAUGGGGGACAUAAGAUAAAACAAUCUUACCAACCAUCGUACAUGCUCAUGAUCUAUAUUUUCUUAUAUGAAAAAAUAGGCAUUGUGUCAAUGUUCCUUAAGUGUGGAGCUGAUUUACGUCUAAUGAAUGUUUGGAUAUGAAUAUAGAUAGAUUUUUCAUCAAAUUUUAUUUCUUAAUGGACUUGAUUGACGCUUCCUCCAUUUAAUCCAUAUACCAGCUAAGUUAAAGAGAGUUUACAUGUUAAUUGUGGGGGCUAAUGUUAAUAUUACAACACCUACAGACAUGGGAUCAUUGGCUGACCUGGCUACAAAAAUAUACUAUAUGUACCCCGUUGACAAUACCCAUUUGUUGGAAUGACUCACAAAUUUUAUCAUUCGCCAUUCAUUGACUACAAUCUAGGGCCACGACACCAAGAUGAUCCUUACAUCUCACAACGACAACACCAAGCCCAAAUGCUUCCAAAGAUUUGCUAAUAUAUUGCGAAUAGAACAUCUCCAACUUUAGAGGCAAACAUCAGUGAAAACAUAUCUAUCCAUUUUGAAGUUUAAUUGUGUUUAUUAAAAAUAUAUUAAUCUACUAAUACUUGUGAUUAAGGAAAAUUCCAUGUGUUUCUUUAGAUGUAGAAAGUACAUGGAGGCACAUGAGGACACGCCGGUCAGGCAGAAAACUUGGAGCGACCAUAUCUUGUAGGUGGUCGAAAGUGUCAUGGAGACUAACUAGCUGCCAGGGACUUUGGGCUUUGCGGCCGUUCUAGCGGAGCAAGAAGAAUGGCAAAUCAUGGUACCUUCUGUUGUGGCGUUCCGACCCUCGAGGUCAACAGUUGCGUCACUCCUACUUGCCAUCACGGUCGCGUGUGACUCUAGAUAUGUGCUUCCCUGUCGACGACGAUAGAUGAGUUGCAGGGGAAUCAAGGGAAGAAGCUGCACAACAUACAGUUUGGCCUAUGGUCUUAUAAAUGCAUGUGUGGAGGGCAAAACAGCGGCACAUCCCUCGAGAAUUGCGUCGAUAACAGGGUGAUGCGUGGAGUUCUAGCAUGAGAAACAAGGGCAUGCUUUUUGCUGUAAAAAAACUUUAAGGAUCCGUUGUAACAACUUUGGGCCCAUGCCUGGCGUGAAGGGCUUCCAGGCAAUCAUUGACAAGGCACGACCCGACCCGUUUAAUAGGCCUUUUUUACUCAUCCUACAUAUGUUUCUUUGGGCCAUUUCAGGUAUCCCGUCUAGACCUUGAGCCGUUUCCGGGCCAUCAUUUUGUGUGGUGUGGACUACUUGAGCCCAUCGUAAUUGUGAGGUCCGUCAUGGGCGCCAUAUCGCAAAAAGCCUGGCACACACACACAGUUGACUGAAAUUGCCUUCGCCAAGCACGAGAGCUAUAUCACAAAUGAUAUAUGUCGUUCGUUGCGAGUGUUACGACGUCAAUCGCCUACAGGCGCGUCCAGCGGCCAGUCCAUUGAGCAGAAGCAUUCCCAACGGUUUUGGGAAGCUUUAAGAUGUUUUUCCAUCUCUGUGUUUUUUGUUUGUUUUUUUACCAGGUUUCUAUUUCUUCUAUUUUUUUUUCGUUUUCCUCUCUCCUCUUUCACUUUUUCCUUUUUAGAUAUAUGACACCAACAUAAUAGUUUUUUUUUACUAUUUUUCCUUCCAGGUUUUUUACCUUUUAUGUUUAAUUUUCUUUUCUUCUCUUUUAUUUUUUUAAUUUAAAAAUUUUCAAUAAAUUUUAAUUUUGAAAUUGUUCAUGUUUUUAUGAAAAAAAUUCACGUUUUUGAAAUAAUAUUUUGUUUUACCAAAAUAUGUUCAGAAUUUCAAAUUCUGAUCACAAUUUCAAGAAGUUUUUGAAAGGUUUUCACAUUUCUAGAAAAUUGUUCGAGACAUCGAAAAUUGUUUGCGAUUUUCAAAUAUUGUUCACCACAUAACAUAAAAUGAUCAAUGUAGUUAAAAAUUAUUCACUAUUAAGAAAAGUUCAUCGUACACAAAUAAAAUGUUCAUUGCAUAUUCAAUAAUUCUUCAGUGUGUAUUUUGUAAAGUUGUUCACCAUAUAUUAAAAAUGUUCAUUUUAUAUAAAUCAAAUGUUCAUCAUAAUACAUAAUUUAUUGCUAAGUGUGCAUUUUUAAAAAGAAUUUUUUUUAGAAUUUCGAUUUUUUUGUGUUUUCAACAUUUGUUCGUGUUUGAAAAGAGUUCACUUUUUAAAAAAUAUUCAAAGUUUCUUAAAGAAUUUUUCGUUUCCAAAAAUGUUCAGAAUUUUGAAUUUGCAAACAUUAAAAAAUUGCGAUUAUUGGACAAAAAGAAAACGGCCAACACUUGCUCGCGUUGGCUCGCUGGCGCCACAGCGCUCGCUCGCAGGUGCCUGCUCCCGCUGACGGGUCAGACCUAUUUAGGGGUGACCCGUGAGGGACUCGUACGUUAGCGCUCGCUCAAAGCGAUGGAUAGCAGCGCCAGACCAAUAUCUCGCCUACUGCAAUACCAAAUACAUAGAUGAGCAGUAGGUCGAGCUGGUCUAAUUAACGUGUACACGUGCGGUGUUGUGAAGUUUCUACAACAGUUCGUGGAACCUUCCACCGGUUUUUGGAAGGUUCCAUGUAGUUUUUUCUUGUCUUUUACUAAUUUUUCCUUUGCGGGUGUUGUAUGGUUCUUUUGCUUUUCCGUUCAGUUUUCAUUUUAUUUUUUCAAAUACAUGUCAGAAUCUUUUUACCAUGUUUAACAUUUUUAUGAUGCACCUUGAUAAUUUUUUAAAUACAUGAUGAAUAUUUUAUAAAUACACACUUAAGUUUUUUUUCAAUACACGUUGUACAUUUUGCAUAUACAUGCGAACAUUUUUUUGAUACAUGUUAAGCAUGGAAAAACUUGUUUUCCAAUUUUUCAUUAACAUAUUUUUUUUGAACGUGUGAACAUUUUUAAAUGUCACAAAAAUUUAGUCCCAUCGUACCUCUAACCAAACAAGGAGACGGAUCUCGAUUUUGAGCUUAACUUACCUGCUGCACCAAGUGGUCAUGCAGCAGUCAUGGCAAACUGGCAGCAGGUAGCUAGGUAUGCCAAUUGCGAGACUGACUAGUUUCUGUGAUGUUGAUUAUGGUGUUGAUUUCCUGAGAAAAAAAUGAUGGUUCAUGUCAUUUCCCAUGCAAUCACUGUGCGUGAAGUUGUAAAAGGGUUUCUUUAUCUCGUCACAUGAUCUAAAUGACAGGCUAGAUAUCUGCGAUCAUUAUGGAAGUAUUUCCUAACCUAUAAAUUGUGUAUUUCGGGUUUAAUUUCAUGGCAAGUACCUAUAUUGUUGGCGUGAACUACUGAGCUUAUCCUAGCUUGAUAUUAUUAGCAAAAACAACUCACGGGAGGACAUGCAAACAUGUGCUAUAUGAUGGAUUUGAAACUGAGCUUUUGGAACAAUUAUCGUUGUCUCGGUCCUAUCAUACAACAGCACAUACUUUGCAUCAUUUCAGUUUCAGUGAAUGUCUAUGCUUGUGUCUCAACCAGUAUACUAAUUUGCUGUGCUUGCUUUCCUCUGCUUGUGCAGGAGGAUGAACUAGGACUGCCUACAGUGCCGCUUACGUCAAUUCGUAUCCUUUUCUCUUAGUCAAUUCGUGUCUGAAACUAACAAAAAAAGCUACGGCGUAGGUUUGAUCUUGAUGUAAAUGGUCGGAGCUUUGUUUGUGCAUGGACAAAUUCAUUGUAUUUUUCCUCAUAGUAUAUCACUACCAGUUGAUGAACAAUGGUAAAUGGAGUUGUUCUCUAUACGGUUGUACAUCUUGUUCUUAGUAUCUCUAAUUUCUCGCAAAAAAAAGUAUGUCUGUGAUUACACUAGCUAGGUGAGUUGAAUUUUUAGGUGAAUCAGUACCUACUUUUCUUGUAAAAAGAUCAUGGGAUAUGUCAUACCAAACUCUUCAUGUCUAUGAGUGCAGUAGCUUAGCUCUCACUGUUGUCUGUCACCUGAGACUUUGCAUAUCAUAUCAUCUCAUCCUUUGUUAAGUUUUUAUUAGGCAUGAAGAAAAAAUAAUGUUGUAUCUUUGUUCCAUUUCAAUCUCACCAAUCAAUGUUUGAAAUUUAGUAUAGUAGUAAAUUAUUUGUUAUUUCAUCUGAAGGACGAGGACUACAUACUCCUGGAUGCAAUGCUCCAUCAUAAGGAUAAGGACCUCAUACUCUUGCCCUACAGCCCCGUGUAAGUUCUUUUGCUUGGUCCUAUGGUAAUUUUCCUUUUUUAUGCACCUAGCUUCGUGCGUUUAUAUUUAACUGUUCUUGUUUAUGCAUCGACCACUUACAAUGAGUCAUGAACUCAUCCCGAGGCAUAGGAAGGGAGAAGAAUCAGUGGACACUCAGGAUAUUUCCGCUGCGUAAACCGUUGCAGCUUUUCUGCUUUGUUCUCCUCUUUAUUUAAACAGCUCAUUAGCUCAACUUAAUAGCUAACAUAAAGAUCCUAAUCUUGCGCCAUGACCAAGUUUCACGGACAUGCCAUCCCACGUCCCGUGACCAUGCCUCAAGUUCUAAGUCGCUACAGCCAGUACUCAUGCCAUCCCACGAGGCGAUCGUAAUAGCAUGCAACUACUGAUCCGGCCAUGUCGUGAACAGGCUCACGCUGCAUGGACCGGUUAUUAUUUUUGCUAGAAAUAAAACCUACGAGAUGACACGGGAUGAUUACAGACUUCAACAUGUAUAGAUGGUAUAUGAGUGACUCGAGGCAAAACAUAGACCUAAAUCGUCUUCCGCAAUGAUAGACCUUGGCUUCUCACUAGAAUUCAGAUCAUAUAUCAACAUGCAUCACUCCCUUGCUGCAAUGUAAGUGCACUGAAAGGCACGGGGCAGGAACUAGAAGAAGGUUGUUGGAUGAGUGUUUGGUAUGCCUCCCGCAUGGUUGGCCUUGCUUGUGGAGAAGAUUCCAAGCAAGAAAAGGCCAGCUUGAUGAGCAGAAGUAAGCUAUUCUGUUCUGUUGUUGGUGUUGUCGGCCGUUGGUCUAGAAUAUCUUUUACCAGUAUAUGUUGUUCCCCACUCGACAAACUACCGUCUAAUAGAUCCAUUGGAUGCUUCCCCAUCAAUAGCUCUAGCACAACCACACCAAAGCUAUAGACAUCACAUUUCUCCGUCACAACAGAUGUGUAUGAGAGUUCUGCACAAAUUAAAACAUUAGAAUCUGGAACAAGUCGAUAAGAGAUGAAUACUUGAUGUAAGAAGAAAGGUUAUACAAGUACGUACCUGGAGCUAUGUAGCCGUAUGUUCCUGCAAGUGCACUCCAGUUUGAUGAAUCUGGCUUAAGAAUCCUUGCUGUGCCAAAAUCCGAGACAAAAGCCUUGAAGGUUGUAUCAAGUAAGAUGUUGUUGCUUGUGAUAUCUCGAUGGAUUAUAGGUGGACUACAUUCGUGGUGCAAAUAAGAUAGUGCUUGAGCCACAUCAGUUGCAAGAGCAAUUCUCUUCUUCCAAUCUAAUUCCUUUGCUAGCUCCUCAUUUUCCAAUGUCCUGUGGAGGCUGCCUUGCUCAAUGUAGUCAUAGACAAGAAAUUUAUAUGCUGGAUGGGAGCAGAAUCCAUACAUUUUGACAAUGCUUCGUUGUCGGAUCUGUGAUAAGAUUUCCAUUUCUCUGCGAAAUCUUCUUUCAUCAUCCAACUCUUCCCCGGUCUGAUGAAGCUUCUUCACAGCAACUAGCUGCCCGUUUUGAAGUUGUGAUUUGUAUACUUUGCCGUAUCCUCCUGUUCCAAUGAUGUACUCGUCGUCGAAGUCUUUUGUUGCCCUUAUAAUAUCAUCAAAUGCCAUUCUUCCAUCAAAAUUCCAAACAGAAAAUAGGUAUCUUGCUUCAGUAGUUACACCUUCUUGUGGUUUUCUCUUUUUACGACUGAGAAUAAUUAAGACAAUAAUUGCGGCAACAAUGGUGAAACUCACCACAAGAACAAUUGGCAAAUGCAAACCAAGUGUCUUCUGUUUAUGGUGACCAAGUACUAGAGUUGAAUAACAAGGAGUCAGGCUAGAGAGGUUACCACACAGACCUUUAUUGGGAAGAAACCAACUUGUUGAAGCAUUUCGGAGAUGCCAUGUUGUUGGGACUGGUCCUUGUUUUCGCAAGAUAAAUUUUAAAUCUAUCCGCGUUGGCGUUUUAGGUGCGGGCAUGCCAGUAUACGAGUGUAUACAAAUACAAAAUAAAACAAGCACACAGAAUGAUGCGGAGAAAAUUUGUAGAUCUUUAUUGCUAAGGAUAUACAAAUCUCAUUUUACAUGCUUUUGGUAUAGCAUCUGACAUACAAAAGACAAUUGCAUAAUUCUCGACUCCUAGGGCCUCGAAAGGACCUCUAGUUAAUUACAUUCAUAGAUUCAUAUCUAUGAACGACCUCCGAUUAAGCUGCCUCAAACGGUCAUCAUCAUUAUCAAACUCAUGGCUUCUGUCUCCAAGGCAAAAAGAAUAUGCAAACACUCUGAGCAAAACAAUAAUCUCGCCAUGCCAAAAAUUUAUGGAUUCAUGCACCAAUCAAGCAUGAGAUGUGAUCAAGUCUCAAGAAGAAAAUAAAAUGGAUAGUUCGGCCUCGUCGGUCACGAACAUCAUGCAUCCUGCCUCGUCGGUCAGGAAAUGUAUGUGAGUUCCGGCCUCGUCGGUCGCGGAAAAGGGUGUUCUGAACAUGGACUUGAAGAUGAACCCUCAUUUGAUUGAGAAACAUGCUUCUGCAAAAUUUUGUCAAUGGCGUCUUGUUUAUUCCGGAGUAGAUGGUUGUGUCUUUAUUAUUCUCAUCACCCUUUACAUCAUACAAUCUACUUCACUUUAUUAGUGACCUCUGAUGCUUCGCAUGUGAUGACUUAUGAUGCUGAUUUUGAGUAUGUGUGUGGCUGCGCUGCUGUCCCCUAGGGCCUAACUUUGUAUGCCACCCCAAAUGUAAUGUUACAGAAGAUUUUGCUGAUGAAUUUGAUGCGUCCGCGGUGACGAUUUGAUCGCCAUGUAGAGCUGCGAGAUGCUAUAAACUUUUCUUUCUUUUGAUUUUCAGAUCUGAUACUGAGACAUCCGCGGCGACGAUUAGAUCGCCGUAUAGAGCCG
rnacentral:lncRNA from 1 species